rnacentral:lncRNA from 1 species
GUGGUAGAAUGACACGGUUAUAUUCCACGAUUGGUGACAAGUAUUUAUUGGAAUCCAGAUUACGGAGCAGGAUAGGCAGGGACUAUAUUGUGUAUUAUUCUUGUUGAAGACAGUGGAUACAUCAAACUGUAAGAUUUACUUAGAUAUUUUGUCUUCUGCAUGUGACAGUUUAUCAGUUAUAUAUACAUGUCUGUAAUCGAGUUUUAACAGGUUUUCCAGGAAAUUGAAAUUAUUGCACAUGUUGUAAAGGGGGGUCACUAUGGGGUUGAAAUGACACACAGGAGAGAAACUAUUUUUGUGUAAUUUAUGUUUUUUUCUGUUAUGGACAACAGCUAGAUUUCAUGAUUUCUUUUUAAAAGUCCUACAUUUGUCCUUUAUGUAUAAACGGUUUAAAAUGAUAAUGGUUUGAAUUUGUUGGCAGUGACUGACCAUCUCGUAGGUUUUCAUGGAAAAGUGGUAUUUAAUUUGGUAUUUAUCUUACUUUUUGGCUUUUGCUGUUGUUGUAGGUCAUCAAGGAAUCUAUUUACAUUGACUGAGGAAAAUAUUUCUACUAGAUAAGAGGAGGGUAGAAUUUUGUUUUGUUAAUUUUAUUUGUAGAUACUCAGCAGUCCAGGCAAUUAUUGUUAUUCGUAAUAUUCCUCAAACUUGUAAUAUUACGACAAAUAGUAACAUUACAGCUUUGUGUAAUAUAAGGCCUAUAUUACAAAAAAUCGUAAUAAUUAAUAUUACGAAUAUCUGUAAUAUAGUUUUUCUAUAUUACGAAUAUUUGUAAUAUACGAUUAAACGGAUGUUUCGUAAAAUUCGACGUGUCUUACCAUGACACCAAGUAGUCUUUCUGAAAGAUAUACAUACGGUUAUCAUAUUUACAUCUGCAGAAAAUUUAGUUUUAAAGUCGAAUUUAAUUUUUUUACAAAAUUAAUGAUUUUCCUACGAAAUUUCUAACUAAGAACUGAAUUUUUGACAAACUGCUCAUUCCCACAAUCUUUAAACUAAUUUCCUGUUAAAGAAUUACAUUUUCUCUUAACAGAAACGUUUUAUGUGUUGUGCUUUUAAUGCUAGUAUUACGUCGAAAAAUCUUUAAAGAAACAUGUGUAUCGAUUCCAAACCACAUUUCAAUGGAGAUAACUCUUGGUCGCUUAGAAGUGGCUGAAAAGUAUAAAUCGUUGUCUCCCUUAAAAUUGAUCUAAUGCACUUGAAAUUCCAAUGUUUGUUUAACUUAGUAGCUGAAAACUGAUAAACCAAAUUGAUUUCAAGUCAUUUUUGGAAUAUUAAAAUAAUAUAGCAUAUCACAGAAAAUGAAAAUAGAUGUGCAUGACAUCUGGCACACACGACGAAGGGAAUCAUGUCCUAUGUAAAAAUAUAAUCCGGAGAAAUUUUUAAUUUUCCGCAAUAAAUGAUGUUCGGCACCGACCUUUUUUUUUUUUAUUAGGGUGGGGUAUUUUAUUUUUAAAGAAUUGUUAAAAAAAAAUGAAAAUUUUGAAAAUAUCAUAAUUUGUUUCAGAACGGAAAUAAGAAAAAAAUGUUUUUUUUAUAUUUAAAAAAAAAACUUCGAUGAGAGUCUUGAGUAGGAUCUUCAUAUCUGUAUUCUAGAAUUUGUGUCUAUUAUUCUCGACCGUUGGUUGCCGGAACGUCUGUUGAUGCUUGCAUUUUCCCACUGAUAGACCGCGACUUAAAUUUUAUUCUUUUUAACACUCGAUCGAUUUUUGAAAAAAAUAAAAAGUUUUUGUCCUAUUAGAUUUUCUUAAAAUUUUGUUCAUUCUCCUAUUUUCGAUAAACCCGUUCUGAUCCUAAUUAAUUUAGAUAAGUUUUGUGCCUGCAUAUGUUCGUCACAAGACCCCAUCAUAAAGAAAAAAACAAAACAAAACAGACAAAUAAAAAAUAAAUAAAAACACACACACCGAAAUGAACGGAAGUUGUCCGGGUCAAACCAAACAAAUAUUUUAGACACAAUCUACAGGCAUGCAGGUGUAAUAAAUGAUAUUUGCAUUUUGAUAAUUUUGAUAAGAGGUUCUUACUUCCUACAAAGUUACCUAUGUCAAACAAUAUUUAUUUGUGAUUACAGUAAAUAUGAACAAUCGUUUUAGUUCAAAAUCCCACAAAUCGAUUGUUUCAUCGAUCCGUCCUAUUUAAUUGUUGUUUUUACCACUGCGAAUUUUGUUCACACAUAAAUUAUACACAGUAUUUUUUUUUUAAUAAAAUAUGUUAUAUCAAAAGUAUGAUUUAGAUACUUAUAACGUCAGUAAAUCAUGCAAUGAUUCCAUCAGUCUUUUAAAGUGUGUAUUUGAUAUAGAAUUAAUACCGUAAAAUAUCUAAGGAAAUAAUGGCAGUACUGGAAUAUAGUGUGUUACACGGUUGAAAGGGUGAAAACAGGUUUUGGGACUAGGUAUCAUCCACUUUUUGGCAAAAGAAAAUUAAUGACAAAUAAAAGAGGACAUUGACAAAACAAUAGACUAUUAUAAUUAUAGAAUCUAUAUUUUAGAUUAUAGAAGACUUUUUAAUUUUUUGUUUGAUUUCCGGCAAAGACAAAGCUUUGAUCCCUCACCUUCAUUCUAUUCUUACGUAUGCUUCAUAUAUCUCGUCUUUAUAGAAUGAAGAUUCACCUUGAACAUGUUUCUUUAUUAUAUAUGUUUUUCGUUACAAAUCAUGAUGUAUUGUUCUAUGUGUACAUGUUAUGCUGCCCAUCAAGGGCCCUUGAUUGGAAUAAUAAAAUUCUUAUAGUCUCGUAACUUGAAUUUGUCCUUUUGUUUAUAAGCGGUGCUACCCAAAAGAAAAUUGGAGAUGCUUUUCUGGGAAAUUGUUUUUGAAAAGAUUGAAGACGUUGUAAUUUUUCUUUUAACCUGGUCAGCACUCGUUAACCCAGCUGUCAUUCUGUAUUACUAAGUAUUUCAUUAAGGUUUGGAUAAAAACUGUCAUAAAACAUUUAAGACACAACAAAAUAAGUAUUUUAUUUUAAUAGAAUAAUUGUUUUCUAUUACAAAAUACAGAACAAAAAAUAUUGAUUUGACGACUUCAAUUAGCUUAUAUAUAAGUGUUUCUAUUAUUUAAUGAAUGUUUUUACAUAUUGUGUGUCGAGAAUGAUAUAUGAUUUGUUUUGAUUUUUGUUAACAAGACUUGUAAAGUUAAUCCCCUCCCAUAAAAACAACACACAAAAAAUCGAAACAAAAAGAAACAACGGCAUACCGUAAAACCUGACAUGGUAAGAUGAUAGGGUAUGCGGUAUGGUACAAAUUCCUCCAUGGCGUGGUAUGUAUAACGAUGGUGUCGUGGUAUGGCAUGGUCAUAAGGAAUAUACUACAAUACCAUAGUUUAAUAAAAAAUUGUAUAAUAAGAAAGUUUUAGUAAUAAACUAAACUCAUUUCAGAUCUUCAUAAUAUUGAUAGCAGAGAUUGAACUUGAUAAUAACUUGAUGAACUCAUAUUCCCUGUUAAACAAAAUCGAACAUCGGAAUGGUAAUUAACAGUGGCGGAUCAAAAAGGGGGGUCCGGGGGUUGGAACAUCCCCCUUUUUUGUUUGGCCGAUCAAUGCAUUUGAAUGGGGACAAAUAGUUGGAACCCCCUCCCUUCUUGUCCUGGGUUGGGACCCCCUUUUUUGAAUGGCUGGAUCCGCCCCUGAUAAAUGUUGAAUUCGGUAUACUACCGUAUACAUUCAUGAUUCAUAAGCUAAUAAAUGACAUAUUAUGUGCCCUAAAUAAGGUGCACAGAUAACUUUACCAUGUUUACAAAUGCACGGUGGUAUUUGUACCAUAUCAUUUGUGUAUACAUGUUACGAUAGGAUUUGUAAUAUUGACGUUACAAUAUCACAUAUCAUACCACUGUACCAUACCAUACUUUACAAUAUAUAUGCCCCUCAAAAAUGCAUCAGACUGAUUAAUAAAAAGAACUCAAUGACAUCAUCGCAGCUUCAUUUUGUCAUUCUAAAUACAUUUUGACACAUGUUUUGAAUUUGUGACCACCUACUUACUUACAACAACAUAUGAUCAUGUAAUAUGGUUUUUGCAAAACGAUAGAUUUCAAUAAUUUAGUAGGGGCUCUUCAGAUCUCUUCAGCAAAGCAAUUAUAAACCUUAUGUUAUCGAUGCAAGAUAUAAAGUUUCAAAUAAUGACAUCUUGUACAAUUUUUAUAAUACACAUUAAUUAUAUCACUUGAUUCCUUUAGUUUUAGUUUGGUUCGUGUUGCUCAGUCUUUGGUUUUCUAUGUUAUUUUGUUUGGCUGUGUGUCUUUUUUUUUCUUUUUAGCCAUAGGGUGUUACGGUUGUAUGUUUAUUUUCGACUUGUGAGUGUGUCCCUUUGGUGUCCUUCGCCUCUCUUUUAUAACUUAACUCGUGUGUUCUAUGUUUCUUAUUUACAUGUAUAUAACUGUAAUUUAUGUUAAUAUGUUUACUUUUUAACCCUAAAGGUCAAGUUUUACUUUUAUCAAUUAUUGUAAAUUAUUGUGUUUUUUUUUAUUAAUCCAAACUAAAAGAAUUAUUCAGACACUAGACUAGGUACAUGUAUAUCUGUAAUAAAAAUUGUGCUAUACGAGAAGAAUAUUGAUUGAUUGAUUGAUAUUUAACACCACUUUCAACACUAUUGUGCUAUUUUGUGGCGAAACUGGCGAUCAGAUUUUAUUGGUGGAGAAAGCCGGAGUGCCCACCGAAAACCACCGACCUUCUGUAGGAAAACUGACAAUCCUAGUCAAUUAAGAUUCAGUGGAGUCGAGUGUACCUGCUCCGUGCGGGAUUCGAACUCACAACCUCAGUGUUGACUGGCUAGUGAUACAGUAGUUCGACAACUUAGACCACUUGGCAACAAAGCCCCCUACAAGAAAAAUAUUUUUUUUUUUGGGGGGGGGGGGGGGGGGGGGCGCAUCACAAAGUGUUCCAUAAGAAUAAUAUAAAACAAAAAUCGUAAAGGGUUCCGUGAAACCCUGUGUUUCGCCUACGAUUGCUGCUGUCCGAUUAAAAGUGUUAUGUUGACUUAAAAGUGAGUCUAUUUAUCAGUAAAAAAAAACAGAAUCUAAAAAAAAACAAACUUUGUUUUCAGAUACUAUUUCUUGGAGAUUAGCUUAUGGCCAAGUUUCAACAAUCCAUCAAGUAUUACAAACUUAUCAUGUCCAGACUGUCUGUAUAUAGUUAUAUAGUGGGGUUGAUGUUUAGACGAGUUAUAUAUAUAUACAUAUAUAUUAACUACUAAAUUUACUACUUGUUAACUGCAAAACUAAGUCCAUUUAUCAGUAAAUGACGGAAAAUGAAAAUACAUAUUAUCAAAAUUUGUUCUGGAUACUGUUCUUUGGUCAUUAAAAAGCUUCUGUCCACAUUUCAUAAAAUUUCAUGAAAGUUAUUGAAGACUGAAAACCUUAACCUAAGACUGAAUCCGUGUGAAUGUUAAGUUAAAAAAUUUUAGUCCAUUUAUCAGUAAAAUACUGAAAAAAAAAUUGGCUCUUGAUACUGUAUUUUGGUCAAAAACAGCUUCUUUCCUUCUUGAAAUUCUGUGAAGGUUUGGGUAAGUUAUUGAUGACUGAAAAGAUUUAACUUCAGCCGGGCUGAAUUUAAAUGUUAAAUGAGUCCUACUCAAUUUAUCAGUAGAAUACAUAAAUAUUUUCAAAUUUUGCUCUAUUCACUAAAAAAUCUUAAGAGUAAAAAUACUCUUAAGUCAUAACUAUUUCAGUAUAACUUACGACCAAUUUUAAUCUUAAGAUUUUCGGGGAAAAGAGUCGCUGUAUUUUGGUUACAAAUAAGCUUCUGUCAAACUUUUUAUUAAAUUCCAUGAAAGUUUAAUUAACUUUAACCACAGACAGAAACUAAAUAUUGACGCCUCUGACGCCGACGACGAAAUGUAGGAUCGCUAUGUUGCUUUCGCGACAUAAUGUCGCAGGCUCGACAAAAACAAAACUGAAACUAGAGAGUUAGUGAUCACAUCUACCCCGCCCCGUAGGAACAUAGAGAUCAUGUUUAUGUUAAGUAGUCAAAAACAUAUCAUUUACAUUUCAAUCAAUUUCAAAAAGGAUUGUCUAUUUAUAAUAAGGAACCCACAAAAUUAAAAAAAAAAAUCUCAACAAAUAAGUACUGUUACAAUAACUCUGGAAUGGUAAAUUUUAAACAACGAAAACCGAACUAGUCAUUCAGGCCCAAGACCACAAUUAAUGACCCCGAUUAUAGUUCCUUUUAAUUAGAGUGUAUUUUUCCUUAUUUUUUUUUCUUUCCCUUCCUCACUCAUUUCUUGGAUUUUUUUGGUGGAAAUGAAAGAAGAGAGGUGAAAUAAAUUUUUGGAUGUUGUAUUUUAACUUAUUUUGAUUUGGAAUGAAUUUAGGCCAAGUGCAAAAAGGUAAUAUUUACAGUUUUCGGAAAAAGUAAGAACUGAUAGAGGAAUUAAUUAAACCACAACAUUUGGAUUUUUCAAACAAUCAGGCACAACAACUCUGAAAGGGUAAAAUAGAAAACAACGAUUUGUUCACAUUAACGACCGAUUUAAGAAUUGUUAUGAGCUUUUACGAGCAAUAUAUACGGUUUAUUAUCAAUUAUUACAAGUUAUUACGAUGUAUUAAUGUCAAAAUUCCACGAUUUGAUACGAGUUGAACUUGUCACGAAUAAAUAAGAGCAGCUUAGUUCAUUAGCUUACGGGCAUGUUUUGAUCAUGUAUGGAUUGUAACGUAUGAUAUAACGAAAUUUUGCUAUUCAUCAAAGCUUUUACGUGUUAGUUACGACCUGUCAAUGUGUUGUAAGAAUAGUAACGAGAUAGUGUUACGAGUAUUUACGAGCCCAUACGAUUUUGUAGCUUGUAUACUAAUACCUUACCCAAAAUCGUAAACAGUACGCGAGAAUACGCAAAGAGAACGUAUCUAUUAGUAGUAUCAACUACGCAUAAAGUUGCUCGUGAUAACUCGUAGCAAUCCUUAAAGCCGUCGUAACAUGAACCGAAAGAAAUCGUAACCAACACGUAAGCACUCGUAAUAAUCCAUCAAUAAUUCGUAAACAAAUCGUUAAAAAACAAGAAUGUGUCCAUAGUACACGGAUGCCCCACUCCCACUAUCAUUUUCCAUGUUCAGUGGACCGUGAAAUGGGGAUCAAAUUUCUAAUUUGGCAUUUAAAUUAGAAACAUCAUAUCAUAGGGAACACGUGUACUUAGUUUCAAGUUGAUUGGACUUCAACUUAAUCAAACACUACCUUGACCAAAAACUUUAACCUGAACUUCGCACUAUCAUUUUCUAUGUUCAGUGGACCGUGAAACUGGGGUCAAAAAUUUAAUUUGGCAUUAAAAUUAGAAAGAUCAGAUCAUGGGGAACAUGUGUACUAAGUUUAAAGUUGAUUGGACUUCAACUUUAUCAAAAACUAUCUUGACCAAAAACUUUAACCUGAACUUCGCACUAUCAUUUUCUAUGUUCAAUGGACCGUGAAUUUGGGGUCAAAACUUUAAUUUGGCAUUAAAAUUAGAAAGAUCAGAUCAUGGGGAACAUGUGUACUAAGUUUAAAGUUGAUUGGACUUCAACUUUAGCAAAAAUCUGACCAAAAAACUUUAACCUGAAUCCUUGCGAAUGGACGCACAGACGGACAGAUGAACAGACCAGAAAACAUAAUGCCCCUCUACUAUCGUAGGUGGGGCAUAAAAAUUUACGAGUCAUAAACGGAUUUGUGCAAGCAGUUAGCGAAUUGUUACGUUCUGUUGCGAGCGGUUAACAUACGAUACCUACUGAAGGUUAAAUACCGAAAAAUCGAUCCAUGGACAAUCGUUAAAAAGAUUUUUGACAUGAAUAAAAAGUUCCUCUCCUUUCAUGAUCCUUAUGAGUCUCUGCAUGUUGUUCUGAGUUCUAACCAGUUAUUUACGGGUACCAGCGAGUCAUUCACGGAUGCUUACAAUUGACAACCAGCAAAGCGUAAGGACUCGUAAGAAACAUCCGUAUAUGUGAAAGGGGGGGGGGGCCAUUUAAAAGUUUUCGACGCUUCUCAAGCACGACGGAUGUCAAUGGACAACCAAAACACAUUUGGAUAUGUUUGUCUAGAUGAGCUAAAUAUAAGAAUGACAUAUUGAGAUGCAAUUAUUACAUGUACAUUACCAGUCAAACAGUUUCUUCACUUGGAAAAAAUAAGCAAGUAUCUCCAAAAAAUAACAAGAUCAAUGUGUUAACCAAGCAUAUUAACUAAGGUUAUACAUUACUCUAAAGCAAGGAGCAUUUUUGUUUGAUAAAUAUUGCGGUACCAUAUAUAUCUAGGAGCUUUUAUCAUGGAAAAGUCAUAUCUUUUAAUUUACUUUGACUUACACAAAUAUUUGAUGAAAUACAGAUUUUAUAUACACGCGCUAAAACGUAUUUGCAUUUGCGAUCAGGAAAUGUCUAUGACAGGUUCGAUAGUAUUAUGUGACCACGACGAGCACGCGUACCACAUUCAGAUCAUUAUGUAAAAAAAAAAAUGUACAAAUACACCACAGAAGUCUACAAAAGCCACGGAAAGAGAGAAAUAGGUGUUGCUUUUCUGGCGGCGUUGGCAGCGACAGCAUAGGAUGAGUCAACAAUUAUUUAGUUUUCGGCGUUAAUCAGUUUGAUAGGAACUACUUGAUCAAUGAUAUAUUUUUACAAAGUUGCAUUAGUAUCAGAUCAUGUCAGCUACUUCGAGACCCUGUCCCCUAGGUUAAGGUCAGGCGAAUUUUAAUUAGCAAGCAAUUUUCAAUAUUUAAGUUGCCUCUGCUUAAAUGAGUUUGAUCGGAACGACUUGUGAUAGAUCACUGACAUUUUCUAUAAAGUGGCAAUACUAAAUUAAAGUCUAUUUUGUGACCCUGCACCUAUGUCAGGGUGCAGUGGUUUUGAAUUGGAAAGCAAUCGUUUCAAUGUUAGCUUCUUUUCUGCUUAAGGAUGUACUUAGGUGAGGUUUUGGAAUUUGUGUCAAAUGUUCGGACUCCUUGGUGUUUUUCCAUACAAUACAAUGUAAAAUAUUUUGCCCCAUAACCCAUUUAUUUUUUCAUAUAAGACUUAAUAGCUCAUGAAAGGUCAUUUACCAAAAUUUUAGAAGAUUCUUGAUUUUCUUUCUUUUGUUUUGAGACCCAAAUAAUACCAAUGCAAAUAUAAGGUAAAAGUCCGAGUCAGCCUUUUCCCGCCAUAUUUUAAUUCUCAAAUAUCUCGAAAAGGAAGUCCAUGACCUAUCAAUAUUUUUAGCUCAUCUUUAUCCUUAAUUGAUGCUCUACCAGCUUAUAGUAUCAAUUUUAAUUUCUUAAUUUCUUAAUUUUUACCUAACCUCACCUAAGUAUAUCCUUAAGUCAAUCCUAUAUAUAUGAACUACUUGUGAUAGAUGAAUAACAUUUUCAAUAGAGUUGUAUUACUAUCAGUAUACAUACCAGUUUGACGACUAUUUCGAGGCACUGUCCCCUAGGUCAUUGUCAAGCGACUUUGAAUUGAUUUGAUUCUAAGUUUCUGCAAAUUGGUGAAAGAUUUCUUUGUGUAAAAAGUGUUUUUGACUAUGAAGAUUAAAAGUCUCAGGCUAAAGCUGGAAAGUCGAACGCUGAGGAAUUAAAGUUUGACGCUGAAAUUUAAUUCCUCAGCGCUAAAAUUUAAAGUUUACCGCUGGGGCUGUAUAGUCUUGCUCUGAAGAUGUUGGGAUCAGCGCUGAAGAAUUUAAGUCUACAAUGUAGCUCUGACGAUCUUGAGAUCAAAACUGACGAUUUAAUGUCCAGCGCUGAUGAUGUUAAAUCUAGCGCUGAAGAUAUAACUUACAGCGCUGAAGCUGUAAACUCAAGCGCUGCAAAUAUAAAGUUGAUCGCUGUAGAUAUAUUUAAAAUUUAGCAAUAGAUAUGGAAAGACUGGCGCUACAGAUGUAAAAUGCGCGCUGAAGAUAACCCAAGCGCUGCAAAUGUAAAGUAUAUUACUGUAGAUUUAAAAGUCUAGAGCUCGAAAUAGUGGUAUGGUGCUCUAAAUGAAACGCAGUGGCGGAUCCAGGGGGGAGGCGGGAGUUAAACCCUCUUUUUUUGGACGAUCAUUGUGUUUGAAUGGGGACGUAUGGUUGGACCCCCCUUUUAUCCUGGGUUGAUACCCCCACCCCCUCCCCCACCCCUUAGAAAAUUGCUGGAUCCGCCCCUUUAACGUCUAGCGCUAGGUUAUUAACUUUAUUUUUUUUAAACUGCAAUGUAUAUUUUAGUAAUUAUAUAAAAUCCACAGUCCGAGUUUAUUCCGUGUUCACUCAGGCAACAAUCAUUUGAUUUUCUGGGGGGGCUAUGGUUUUUUUUUCUGGACAAAUUUUUUUCACAAGUCGAAAACAAUUUUUUUCUUCAAUUUUAGCAUAACAUAUAGUGGCAGCUGAGGGUGAAACAAACAAUUUUUUUUUCUCAGAAUCAAAAACAAAUUAUUUUUUUCUCCAAAAACUGGAAAAAAACUUUUUUUUAAAAAAAAAAAAAAAUGCUGUUUCAUCGAUGUACAACCCACACCUUCUUUUAUUUAGAUCUGAUUUAUGAACCAAAUUGAAAGAAGUAUUUUUAACAUUCUAAGUCCUGUGUAUGAGAGGUCACCUUAAACAAAUAAGUUAAUAAUUAAAGAAAUAAAAAUGCAAUUGUUAAAAUAAUAUAAUUGUGAGAUCAAGAGAUUUAGUUGUAUAGUUCGUGUUUUUGGGUGGCAUUUCCCAGUACAAAAUCUUGUGUAAAAACCCAUAUAUUUUACACCAAAACGAAAUUGUUCACGUAUACAAACACCUUGUUUUAUUUUUAGACUAAGCGGGAAAUAUAACUGCUUUACCCAACUAACAUGAUUAUUAAGAUGGUGUCGAAAAUCGUUCAUUGAUUAGGGCGAAAAAAGCGGGAAAUAUAACUGUAACUGUAAGCUAUACAUAAUGCUGAUUAUGCAUUUCUCACGGAUAUUUGAUACAGGGAAGGUCGUUGUUUUAUCAUCACUCCUACAUUCCAUUCUCUAGUUUCCGCCGUAAUUUAUAAUUAAUCUGACAGUGCUCGACAUCAUUUUUAAGUCACUGCUACACCGAUAAAGGAGUUUGUUGCAUUUUAGAUAUGACAUAUAAAAAAAAUAUUUUGUCAAUAUAAUAUUUUAUAUCGUUACUAACCAUCUUUUCAUUUUAUAAAGGAACCAUGACGUUUCUAAAAAAAUUUAAAAAAAAUUCUGAGGUGAAUUGAAAAAAAAUAUAAAUUGUUUCUACCAGAAACAAGAACAUUGAUUUAAAAAAGUUUGUUCCUGUGUGUUUUAAAUAGAAAAAAAAGGUUUUUCCUUUAAGUUGGAAAAUAAUGUUUUUCCCAUGCAAGUAUAAUCAUACCCCCUUAAACAGAUGAAUUGUCGGGCCAAAAUUUUAUUUAGCUUUCAUUUAGUAAAAGAUAAUUUUUAAUCAUGCCUAAUGAAAACGUGAUUCCGCUUUUAGACACGGAGAAGAUUAGCCCUUAAAUAUGAUUCCGUACUACAAUCAGUAUCUGCUAAGGAAGCUAAUUAGCGCCACACAUUUUGUUUUUUAAUUUCUUCCUAGGUUUGCGUUUUCAAUUCUUUAUUCAGUUUUGUAUAUGUUAUAAUCAGAAACUAUAUUGGAUUUACAUUUACAUCCAUGCUAUAAUUUUAAAUGUUAUAAAUUUAACAAGAAAAUAGAUAUGGUAUAGGCAAAUUCUAAUUGAAAGGUCAAGAUUUUGAAAAUUUUGAUUAACAAAAAGGGCGCGGGUAUAGUAGAUUAGAGCAAAAAUAAUGGCAUACAAUUGUGAAACUAUAAGUCAAAUAGAAACAUAUAGAUUCCUACACUGCAAACAAGUGUAUAACGAUAUUUCUCCACUCGAGAAAGUUGAAUUUUAUCAUUUAAAGCGCGAGGCUUGCCGAGCUUUUCAAAUAAUUAAAAUUUUAACUGUCGAGAGUGGAGAAAUAUCGUAAAACACAAGUUACAGUGUCGGAAUCUGUUUCUUUGAUGACUUUUAUCCUUUUUUUUUAAAAGAUUUUCAGAAACUAGUGUUCUUUAUAUGCGACGUCAUCAGGCAUAUGGUCGCCUUUUUCAUGACGUCACAAUAGAAAAUUCAGAAGAAAACAAAACAUUUUGACGUCAUAAUCAAAUUUCGAUUAAUCAAUUGCCGAGAACAGAUUUUUCACUAGUGAGGAGAAAUAUUUUUCUCUCACCGGUCAGGAAAUGUGAAAAUAGCACAAGAAUUAGAGAAAAUGAUCUUUUUGCUUUAAAAUAAAUUAUUAAGAAUAAACAUUUUUUUUAAAUUUUGAUGUAAGAAAUCGUUUGUUAAAAUUUCAGAAUACGACAGAUUCUUUGUUAUUUCGAAAAUGUGUGCGUCAUUCCGCAAAAGUUUGCGUUAUAACGCAAAGGUCUGCGUUAUAUCUCAAAUGUUUGCGUUAUUUCGCAAGGGUUUGCCGUUUAGCGCAAAGUUUGCGUUAAAACGCAAACAUACAUAAACAUGGUAAAGGAAGAAAUAUAAAAAAAAUUAUGUGGCGGUAAUAGGCUUCUGUAGUCUUCCGCCUAUACAUUAUAUCUUUAUUAUAGGGAAAUUUCUCAACUGGACAUUCAGUUUGAAUUUUUUCCACUCCCAAAUUUUUUUAUUACCUUUUAGAAUAAAUAAAUGUAGGUUGUGCGCUUAUCUCAGGGUUUAGGACACAGAUCCAGAGUAACCAACAGUUAUAAAUAAUAUAACGCUACAUAAUAUNNNNNNNNNNNNNNNNNNNNNNNNNNNNNNNNNNNNNNNNNNNNNNNNNNNNNNNNNNNNNNNNNNNNNNNNNNNNNNNNNNNNNNNNNNNNNNNNNNNNNNNNNNNNNNNNNNNNNNNNNNNNNNNNNNNNNNNNNNNNNNNNNNNNNNNNNNNNNNNNNNNNNNNNNNNNNNNNNNNNNNNNNNNNNNNNNNNNNNNNNNNNNNNNNNNNNNNNNNNNNNNNNNNNNNNNNNNNNNNNNNNNNNNNNNNNNNNNNNNNNNNNNNNNNNNNNNNNNNNNNNNNNNNNNNNNNNNNNNNNNNNNNNNNNNNNNNNNNNNNNNNNNNNNNNNNNNNNNNNNNNNNNNNNNNNNNNNNNNNNNNNNNNNNNNNNNNNNNNNNNNNNNNNNNNNNNNNNNNNNNNNNNNNNNNNNNNNNNNNNNNNNNNNNNNNNNNNNNNNNNNNNNNNNNNNNNNNNNNNNNNNNNNNNNNNNNNNNNNNNNNNNNNNNNNNNNNNNNNNNNNNNNNNNNNNNNNNNNNNNNNNNNNNNNNNNNNNNNNNNNNNNNNNNNNNNNNNNNNNNNNNNNNNNNNNNNNNNNNNNNNNNNNNNNNNNNNNNNNNNNNNNNNNNNNNNNNNNNNNNNNNNNNNNNNNNNNNNNNNNNNNNNNNNNNNNNNNNNNNNNNNNNNNNNNNNNNNNNNNNNNNNNNNNNNNNNNNNNNNNNNNNNNNNNNNNNNNNNNNNNNNNNNNNNNNNNNNNNNNNNNNNNNNNNNNNNNNNNNNNNNNNNNNNNNNNNNNNNNNNNNNNNNNNNNNNNNNNNNNNNNNNNNNNNNNNNNNNNNNNNNNNNNNNNNNNNNNNNNNNNNNNNNNNNNNNNNNNNNNNNNNNNNNNNNNNNNNNNNNNNNNNNNNNNNNNNNNNNNNNNNNNNNNNNNNNNNNNNNNNNNNNNNNNNNNNNNNNNNNNNNNNNNNNNNNNNNNNNNNNNNNNNNNNNNNNNNNNNNNNNNNNNNNNNNNNNNNNNNNNAAACUAAUGCAUCAUUGAAGUCCCAUUGGUGGCCUGAGUUGGCUGUUUGAUUUGUGGAAACUAAUGCAUCAUUGAAGUCCCAUCGGUGGCCUGAGUUGGCUGUUUGAUUUGUGGAAACUAAUGCAUCAUUGAAGUCCCAUUGGUGGCUUGAGUUGGCUGUUUGAUUUGUGGAAACUAAUGCAUCAUUGAAGUCACAUUGGUGGCCUGAGUUGGCUGUUAUCUGCUCUUUGGUUGGGUUGUUGUCCCUUUGACAUAUUCCCCAUUUCCAUUCUCAAUUAUAAUAUCAUGUUAUGAAGGCCCAUAAAGAAUGGAAUAUUUGUAAGAAACCAACUAUACCCUGACUCAUUAUUGUAUGUUUUGCAAGUGAUAAAACUCAAUACAUCUAUAGUUGAACAAAGGGCUAGUUCAGAGGUAAGUCUGAUUUCUGAUACAAACAUGCAUGACAUGGUAACUGCUGGGUUUUCUGAAGUCCAACACAAGCUUAUAGUAUAGUGAGGUUGCAUGGGUAAGGCAUGACCAUGUUGGUUUAUUAAUUGUGGAUAAAACUUGUCCUACAGUUUUCAACCCAAAUCCCUGAAACAAUCUAUUGGGGAAGAUUGCCCACAUGUUGAAGUUGUGCACCUGCUUUUAAAAGAUUGUUCUCAUUUUUCCUGACUUGGGAUCUAAUGGUAUUUUUCAAAUAUAUAAAUGUUCAGUAUAGAGUUUUCUCCAUUGUGUUAGAAACAUUCUGUGUAACCCAGAUGUUUUAGUCUUUGAUCUAUAUCUAUUAGAGAAAGCAUGAAAGACAAAUUGAUAUAUCAUGUAAAUUGAUACUUUUAAAAAGAUGAUAAUUUGAUUACAGCAGGUAGAUUUUUAAAAAGAAGAUUAAUGGAGAAAUAAUCUAACCUGCUGAUAGAUGAUUAAUCUAAUUAAGAAACACAUGUGUGCAUAAUUACUUAAGCAGUUGGCAAGAACCUCUAUAAUCAGGCUAAUUAGUAUAACCUUUCAAAUUCUUCUCACUUCCUCCAUGCUUCUCUUGUUUCUUUUGUUCACCUCAAUUUUACCAUUGUUACUGUUUCUCACUUAAUCCAUGAUAUUGUGACAAAACUUUAAGGAAAAGAUAAUAGGUGCUCUUGUACUGCACCUAACAUUAUAUCUUAGAAUGAACUUGAAUUUGCCUUUGGGUGCAGGGUUUUCUUGCUGUGUUGAAGACCCAUAGGUUGUCUUUGGCUGUUGAUAUUUUACUCUAAGGUCAGAUUGUUGUCUGUUUGAAACGUACCCCAUUUCAUAUCUCUAUUUUAUUUUUAUUCUUAGGCUUUAAGACAUGAAUAUAAUGGUAAUACAUAUGUAUAUACAAAUAGGAAUGAAGGAAUAUCUAAAAUGUGAUGGCACUACUGACAGCACCCACAGUCAACUCUUGACGACUGUACAAUAUGUUACAAUCAAUUUAGACAGUCUACAAAGAAUUGUACAUGGUCCAGAUAGCCAGACAAAGGUUGAGGUUUCAUCUCUAGCCAGGAUCUUUAGGAUUCAUCCUCUCCACAGGAGGGGACUAGAUUGUAACCCUUGGCAAAUGAAGAUGAAGUUUAGGUCACCCAGGUCACUAUAAACAGGUUUAUGAGUGGACAUAUAUAAAUAGAUCCAUCCUUCCAUUAUCAUAGUUCUACACUGGCUGUCAUUAGCACACAAUGUAAAACUAGGACAGACAAAUGAAUUAGCCAAAAAAUGAAGUUGGUUGUUGCUCAUUUUCUUUGAAAAGUUCUCAUAAUCAAUUGUGACUUAAUUUGUGAAUUAACGUUUAUGAAUGGUUUUCUCUGUUCCUUAUACAUAAAUGGCCAUUAGGACCAUAACAUAAAACCUAAAUGAGCAGUUUAGGAAAUACAUCUUUACUGAAGCUCAAGUAUACACUUAAAGCAGGUCAUAAAAGCCUUUCUUUAGUAUACUGUUAACCCCAUUGAGCUCAAUAAGUAAAAACUUAAUAAAGAACUGCAAUAAACAGGACAUUGUACUAUAUAAUCAUGUAUACAGUGAAAUCAAUACAUUUUCAGACACAAUCCAUCUUACUUCUGACAUAAUUCCUAGUAUUUUAUUUACAUGAAAUAAAUUGGGAUAUUAAAGUUUGUAGAAUUUUAGACUGAGUUUCCGUCUUUUAAGACAUGCAAACCUGGUAUUAAGUAAUAAUAUCAGACAUUUGACUACAUUUGUUAGUGCCAAAUUUGGUUAUCAGGAAUAUGUUUUAUUGGUUUAUUUGUGUAAAGAAAUUUUAGACAAGUAUGCAGCAACUGACAAUGGCAAUGUUAACUGUCAGGGAUAAAUUAUAUAUGAUUUCCCAUAUCUAGUUAUAUAGAGGGUAUUGGGGCUAUCAUAACAGUUUAAACAUAACCAUAUUGUCUCCCAUCUGAAUAGUUCAUUGUUUAUAUCUACCCAACAUUGAUUUUAGAUGCUUUGUAUAAUUUCCAGCUUUGAUCAGACUUAUAUGGAAGUUGUCAUAUCCUUUAAGCGGCACUUUCAUCGGCACUUUCAUUGAUAACAUUUCCCAUCAGUAUGCAUAGAAGUAGUAACAUUGAGUGAUUAUUGUGGUUGUGAUGACUGUGGUCAUUAAAACCACUCAAAUAUCUCUUGGCUAUUGAUUUGGUUUUGAUUUUAUUUGGAUACUGUUAUAUUUAUUCUUUUUAAACUUUUAUCCUAACACAGUUUAUAAAUAAGCAUUCUGUAUCAUAUUGAACCAGUGGGAUCUAGUAGAUACUUUUAAUUGAUCAGACAAUCGUGACAAUUACAUUAUAGUUUUAACAGAUCUAGAGAACUAUCGUUUUUCUCUCAGUUUGUGACGGCAGAUACAUUAAAAUCUAUAAGUUUUAAUUUACUUGGACAAAAAUUAAAUGAAAUUUAAAACUUUUUGAACAAAUGAUUCUUUUAUUUGCACUGCUAUAUAUAUAUGUUAGAAUGCUGUGUAUUUACAACAAAAUUUAUUCACCAAUCAUUAAAUCAUUCUGAGAGUACACAGAGAAUACACAUUAUUUGUAUAUAUACAUGAUAUAUCUGUAUACAAUGAAACAUGCAUGUGAAUGCAAUAAUUAGUAUAGGAUGUAUAUUUAAAAGAGACAUCAAUCUCAUAGCUGUAAUUUCCUGAAAAUAUUUUUAAGGUAAGGACUCACUCACUGUUACAAUUUUGAUUUUGGGCCUGGGGUUGGGGCAGGAGAUUUGUCUGUGGAUAGAAUAUUCAUUGCCAUCUCUAGCUUCAGUUAUAUGAGGGUAAUCUAAUUGCCUUACAAAAAUUUAUUUCAUUUUUUUACAUAAUUAUAUGUACCUAAUUAAUUGUGCUGAUGGUUGUUUGACAGAAUUUUCAUCUGGUCUUUGGUUAUUCAAGGCUUGUUGGUACAAAAGACGGGAAACAUGAACAAUGUACAAGUAAUCAAUCAUAACAAUUGUAUCCCUGAUGAGUUUUUACUUCUUAUAGAAUCAAAUAGAUAUUUUGUAGGCUAGCCGGACAAAUAGUCAAAAAUGUCUAUUCAUCCGGCAAGCCGGACAAAUAGCAUGUUUACGGUUUUUCGCUAUUUGUCCGGCCAAAUAUGUAAUGAUGAAGAUAUAACAUCGUGUUUUAAAGGUUUUGAAUGAAGCACGGGUUGUUUUAAAAUAUGUUGUCUAACCUCGUUUUAUGAAAAAAAAACUCAUUCUAAUAAAAAAAUAAACUAUACAUUUGAUUCAGAUUUUUUUUUAUUCUAAUAUUCUAAAGGAGCUUGGGUAUUGAAUUUCCUGUAAGGUAAAUAGUCAGGCCAAUCAUUAUUGCCUUCAGCUAAGAUUUCAAAAGAUCCUGAAUUUAUAGUUUCAGUGAAGUUUGGUUAAAGUAAGGUCCUCAUAUGAUUAUGCACGAUUCUUCAUUUAAAUUGUUCGGGAUUUUAAUUCAUAUGAAAUUUGAGAAGGGCAGGCACGUGUAACCUGUCCUCAAAAGUAGGAUUGUGUUUUCGAUAAGAUUUUUUUAGGAAAAAAAUAUAUAUUAGAUACAACAGAAAAAGGGGGAUACCCAAACUCUGGUGUCUUAUUCCCAGUCCGGGCAUAUCAGUAUGUUCAUAGAUCUGCGUUGUAGUAUAACUAAAAAAUAAUGCAUCCAAGGAAGUUUGAUCUAGUAUUUUUUUCCGGAUGCGUUUUGCCUCCAUAAGGUAAAUGGGGGUAAAUCUUCAAUUUCACCUUAAUUUCAGGAUUAUCAUCCUCACAGUUUAAAUAACAUGUAUACGCGAUUGCUCUGGAAUCACUCCUAUAUACAUUUGUUUAAAACAAUCACAUUCUCUCUGGUUUUCUCUAUGACAUCUUUAAAUAUGAAUCACGGUCUCCAAUUCUCAACACGUCCAUUGCAUACGCGCGUGUGUUAUCUGACACCGCGUGUGUUAUCCGACACCUCAUCCGGGACACUUUCCACGUCACAUGACACUUUUAUUGAUAUUGAAUAUUUGCGCAUCCGCAGACGGAUGGCCGGACGAAUAGAGAUUUUUAACUAUUCGUCCGGCUAGCCGGACGAAUAGACACUCCGUAUUUUGUAGAUAUCAAUAAAAAUUGUAAAAGUCUGAAUACAGUUAUGAUUGCUGUUAGCUUGGUUAAGUGGCUGAUUAACCAAUAGCCUUCUACAGUCCUACAAAUACAUUAUAUCUAUCAUUAUAGGUAUUCAUUACCAUCAUAUAGGGUCGGAGAAACUUCUAUAGAUUAAUAAGUAUGUAGCUUUUAUAUAACACUUAAUAUUUGAUACUAUAUAAAGGUAUUUUAAUUUGUAUGGAUUUAAGUAAUAUACGGAUAACUAUAUUCAUUAAUGUUCAGACCUUUUAUUUAUAUAUAUUUUCAUAAUAUUUAUUCUUUACGGUAGUGACUAUGAUCCGUAAAACACUGUAAAGAAAUGUCUACACUUAUUACAAAUGAACUAAUGUGACAGAUUGCACAUUUUGAUUUCAAUUAUGGCGAUUGGUAAUGUCAAUUGUUUGAAUAGGGAAUUUAUAUAAUGCAUUGGAAUAAACUAUUCUGUUUUCCUAGUAAGUACAAUGUAUAUUAAAAAAACUUUGUGGUAAGUUAUAAUUAAAGACAAAACGAAUUAUUUCAAGAUUGUAAAAUGGCAUGAUUCUCUCUAAGAUUUAAGUUUGAGCUGGCUUUCCCUAACAUAAAGAUAAUAAGAUGUGGUAUGAUUGCCAAUAAGACGGCAACUCUCCACAAUAGACCAAAUGACAUAGAGGUAAAAAACUAAAGGUCACUGUAUGGCCUUCAACAAUGAAAAAACCAAAACCGCCAAGUAACAGGCCCCAAAUUACAAAUGUAAAACAUUUAAUCAAACAAGAAACUAACAGCCUAAUUUAUGUACAAAAUAAUGAAGGAAAAACAAAUAUGAUUUACAACAACAAAUGACACACUAUGUAGUAUAUAUAUAGUUUAUUAUUGUUUUGUUUGUGCCUUUGUUUUUGUUAUUGAUAAUUAUACUGUUAUAUCAGCAUUAAGAAUUUGUCCUGUGCAAAUAUUUGUGUUUAUGUUUACCAACUUUGUAACCAACACAAUUGUUCUUAUUAUAAUACUAAGACAUCUAUUUUUAGGAAAUUAUAUGAUUAUUUUUGUCGAAUUGUAUAAUACUAGCAAUAGAUUUUUUGACCCAAUGACUAUUAUAUUACAAAAUUUAUGUUAUGCAACAUUGCAUCCCAAAUUAAUUAUGCGCUUUUUUUCAAACCUGCAUUUUAUGUUGCAUGGCAUGGCAAUCCUAGAUUCCGUGGGAUCAACAUUUAGGUUCAGUCUAUUUACUCUAUUAUGGUUAAAUAUUUUAGAUGUCAACAACUUUGUCAAACCUUCUUUAAAUUUUAUGAAAUUUUGAUGGAAUUUUAGAAGCUAAAUGUAUGUGACAGCAAUACAGUCUCACAAGCAAAAUAGAAUACCCUUUUUUAACUUAAGUUGGUACCUAACACUACAGGGAGAUAACUCUGUAAAAUCAGCUCAACGUUUUAAUUAAGCUGUGUUGUUAAGGGAAUAUUAAGCUUCUCAAUGGUCAAAAUUAGUGUUUGUCAAACUGCUAUAUAACCAGUGUAAUUUUUCUGAUAAAAUGGUUGGUUCAAAUUUUUUGAAUUUUUUAUAUUUUUGUCAAAGGGUCAAAGAAAAUACUUUGUCAAAAUUUUAUGAAAAUUAAACGAGCCUAAUUAAUUUAAGUGAAGGUGUUGGGUACCACCUUAAGGCUCAAAUUAGUAAUUUUCAUUUUAUAAAAUUGUUGACCAAUCACAAAUUGUUUUAAGGAUUCUAAUUCAUUUUUGGUUCACAAUUAUUUAUACUGAUCCAAAAAUGAAUUAGAUUCCUUAAAACGGUUAAUUUUUGUAGGCAUCAAAUAUAUACUAAGAGAGAAUAUUUAGUUAUGCAGACAGCAUAAUAGAAUAAUUAGGUAAUGUGCAUAGUACAUGUAUCAGUACAAAUUAUUACUCAUAGUUAAUUAACUUAAUCAGAUAUAAUUGUGUCUAUCACACUAUAUUAUUAGUAUGUCUGAGGCAGAGCAUCAUUCAGAAAUGUUUCAAAUUUUAUAGACAAUUCAUUGAUGAAACAUAACUAAAUGUACUACAAGCUUUUAGUUUAGUUAUUCAACACAUUACUUAUGUAAGUAUGGACUUCAUGAACCAUAGUUAUAUCUUUCUUUUGACUAAAAUUGCACAUAUUAAAUAAAAAGAGAUAUUUAUAUAAGGGGUAUCCAUCCGGGGAUCCAUAGUAGACACAACAAAUCAGUAUAUAUACACACAGAAAUAAAACUAACAGCAAUUGGGAACUGCACUAAAUGUAUUGCUGUUCUUCACCUCAUAAUCACAUAUUAUGAGGCCUUCAACACAGAACAAAAACUCUCACCUCACUGCAAGUUUAAGAUGACCCCCUUAAAGAGAGGAAGUCUUGACAAAUAACUGUGAAUUAAAGAACAUGAUUAAUGUUAGCCAUGGAAUCAAUAAAACAAUCCUGGCAAAGAAAUAUACAUUUACUGUCAUUAUUUAGCCUGACAAUCAUAUAUAUACAGAAGAUAUUUGGUAUACACGGGUCAAUGUGACAAGCACUCAGACGUGUUUGCUGAAUUUUAGAUGAUAGCUUAUAAAAUUUCAUUAAAAUUGUAUUUAUUAUAAUUAUUACUAUUAUUUGCUAUUUUUUCAAAGAAUUGACAAAUCCUUGAUACCACCUAGAAUACAAACUUGUUCUCAAAAGCUAGAAAAUGCAAUUUUAUAAUUGCAUAUGAUUAUGAAUCUAAGAAUGCUUUAGUACAAUGGCCUUCACGAAAGUUUCAAAUGAUACAACAGCACUUUUAAAUUUUUCUUUUUAUAGUACAUGUAUGUAAUACUGGACAUUUUGUACACCUGUUGAAAGUCUGUUUAAUAAUAAGAUUAACUAAAAAUAGUUAUAUCCUUGGCUAUUUAUAUCAUAGACUUUUUUAUAAAGUUAUUAAAUGUUCAAAAACAGAUUAUAGGGGCAGUGACUGCUAAACCAUAUUGAAUAUUUACCACAAUUUAGAGUUCCAUAAGAAACAAAUAACAUAAUAUGUGAAGUCCUAAUAAGGUAUCAAUAUUAGGUGUAUAUAUUUUAGGUCUUGAUGCCAUCUAUCAACAUGGGUAAUUGUAGCAAUUUUUGUAAUUCAAAAAAGAUAUAUUUUAUGAUCUAUCUAUUUUGAAAAAGGAGAUUUGACCUUUAAGAAGUACCAAUGAUUGCAUGUGGGUUAAUACUACUUUCAUAUAUCACUAAAUAAUGUCGGCUAAAGUUUUGUUUCUCAGUUUACCUUAUUUUAGAUUAAAAAUGUCAAUGAUAAAUAUAUUUUAUUUCAAAGAUUUGUAUUUGAUAAUAAUUGGAUACAUAUUUUUGGAAAUUUAUUUGAAAUAAAAGUUGAGAAUCCUAUUUUAUCUAAGUGUCAUUUACCUUAAAUUCUAACAUGUCUAAUAAAAUUGAAAAAGAGAAACUGAUAUCAAUGUUUUUAAGAAAUAAAACAUUACAAAUUUUCAAUAAAUUUUUAAUAGCUUACGUAUCAGAUACAAAUAAGACAAAAUGUUACGUGUCAGAUUUUUUUUAAUCUGCAUUGUGACAAAAUUAUGAAAAGCUGUGAAACAUAAUCCCUUCAUAUUUUUGUAGUUAAAAGCUUUGUUAUAUUGUGCUAUAGUGCUAUAGAUAUAUUGUUUAUCAUAUUAGAUAAUAUAUUAUAUGGUGUUUGAACUUUUUCUCAAUGUUUUGUUAUACUAUGUUUCUCAUUUAUUGUAUUUGAUGUCAUAAAAUAUUCAUUGAAUUCACCACAAUAAAAUUUAGAUUUACUCCAGGGAUCAUCUGUGUUCAAAUCAACAAUUUUUAAAUUUAUCUUAAAGUUUUUGUGACAUUUACAAGGUGGAGGAGUGGGCAUUCUUGUUUAUAACAGUACAAUGAGAAAUGAUGUAGAUGUUUUACACUAAGUUAUGAAAGGUACCAGGAUUAUAAUUUAGUACGCCAGACUAAGUAAAUUCUUCCUAUUUAAGUGUAUUAAAUCAAAGAAGCUUUAUUACACUAUACAUGUCAAUAUAUAUAUGUCCUUUAGAAAUAUAAGCUAUAACUUAGUACAAGGACAAUUGUUUGAUUGUUCAAUUAUUUAUAAUGCAUUAUAUUCCUUAUUGCAUUGAAUAAACUGAGAAGUCAGCAAAAUAUUUAUAUUGUUUCUCAGUGGAAAGACCUUUUGGUUUCGUUCUGAUCAUUAUUUCUUUUCCUUUUUUUUCUGACACCAAAAAGGAAUGUGAGGUCAUGGUCAUGUUCUUAAUUUGAUCUUGUUUUCACCAUCUUCAGACUUUAUAAUGCUUUAAAUUAUAAAAGACCUUUAUCAUAAUGUUUAAGCUAUAGGUUUUAAAAGUUAUACAGCUUAAUUCCCAAAAAUUUCCGUUUAAAGAAAACACUAUAAGUAUCAAUGAAAUAUGCAAAUUUGAAACAUAAUGAAAGUUUGGUCAGUUUUUAGUACUAUUAUUUUGUACAAUGAAUAGUUGAUGAACAUGUUCUUAAGUCUGGCUUUAUCAUGUUUGUAUAAAUGGAAAUGCUUUCAAGAAUCCAAAGUGUACAAUUAUGAUAAUUAUAUGAAGCUAAAGUAUCCGGAUUAUGGUAUAUUGAUGUUUUAAUUAUAAAAUUAUAUAUUAUUAAAACCUCCAAAUACUUCCAUUACUGUCAGACUUCAAGGCUACAUGAGAUUUCAGUUCCAAGAACUUAAUGUGUGAUGGAGAUGAAAUUAAUUUAAAUCCGUAUAUUACAUGUUUUAAUUUGAAGCAUACACAAACAUGAUGUUAUAAGCCUUCUACUUUUUCUAAUUUUGUUAGUUUGCAUUAAUUGGAUAUGGAUUUUGUUCAAUAGAGUAAUGAAAUAUAAAGCAGAAAAUAUACAUAGCAAUAAUUGCUAGUUACAUAUGGUAUAAUUGCUGAUACAAUUUUGUGUUAAUCUUAUUGAUUUUAUGGAUUGUAAUAGGAGAAACAUAGAGAUAUGGUUAUUUUACUGAUUAUUGCUCACUUCUUUGUCUGAAUUCUGGGUAAUGAUUUUAAAAUGAUGAUUGAUUUGAGAUAUACUUGUUUUAGUGUUAUUUACUAGUGUCAUACAAGGGGAAUUAUUGAACUCAGUCUUUAAAUAAUGGUAAUAUAAUCAACUGUGUUAUAAAGGCAACAGGAGGCCCACUGUGUGUCCUAAAUUAGGAGAUAGGAGUUGGUUUCACAAAAAAAGAAAAGAGAUUAAGAUUGGUCUUAAGUAUACUGUAUUGUUCAUGUCUAUAACUAGGUCAACCUUAGUUCAAGUUUUUUGGUGAAACCGACUCCAGGAAGUCUACUGUCUUUCCUAACUUAGAGAACAUUCAGGGAACUGGAGGAAAAGUAUGCACCAAGCCCAUUAGUGUUGCUUUGUAACCAAGUUAGGAAACAGAAGACCCACUGCUAUAGUGUAUUUUCCAACUUUAUUAAUUUUUGAUUUUGAGAAGGCCUUAAUUAACAUAUCCUAUUUGCUAUUAUUUUAUUUGUGCUUAUAUAUUUUCUUUCUAUAUGAAUAUCAUUUUUAGAAACAUCAAGUGUCAAUAAGGAAAGAAAUCGUUAAUUAGAAAUAAGCAUGAUUAAAGAUGAUUCCUUUUUUUUCAGAUGAUCAUGUGAUUUACAGAUCCAAUGAAGAUGGACUAUCCAUCUCCUUGCAACCAUCAUGUCAGAGUUCCAAGUAAGUUUUCUCCCAUUGAACAGAGUUAUCUCCACUUUGUUACAUAAUAAUAAUAAUAAUAAUAAUAAUAAUAAUAAUAAUAAUAAUAAUAAUAAUAAUAAUAAUAAUAAUAAUAAUAGCUAUGUUCACGCUCUUUAAAUUCUGAAUUUAUUAUUAUUAUUAUUAUUAUUAUUAUUAUAUAGCAAUAAAUAUUUGUUUGUUUAUUUAAAUAAAAACACCCGAGAAAACGACCGUGCAAUAAAUCUCUGUAUUUGCACGCAUUUCCGGAAAAAAAGCUGAGGCGUUCCGAAAUCGGCAUGCAUAUUAUUGCAUCUUUGUUGUCGUUUGGAAAAGCAAGAUGGCGGACGCCGGUCAAACAGAUAAUUUGACAGAGUCUAUUAUUGAUAAGCAAAUGGUGAUGAGCUUCAUUGACGAUCAAAAGAAAAAAGCAACAGUUAACUGCACGAAGCGAGAUUUGAAAUUGUUAUACAAAUGGCUGGUUGGAAAGGGGGAGUUGAGGUCAAUCGAGGACAUCCCUCACAAUGAACUUGAUGCUUUCUUGUCUGAAUUUUAUAUAACUUUAAAGAAAGAAAAUGGACAGGAAUAUGAACCUGGAACGUUUGACGGUAUUCGUGCCAGUAUUGAGAGGUAUUUAAAGGAAAAAGAGUACUCGCAUUCAUUACGUGACAAGGAAUUUAAUUUGUCAACAAGAGCACUGUCUGCAAAAAAGGUCCAGUUGAAAAAACUAGGAAAAGGACAUAAAGCCGAAUGCGUUCAAAGGCAGUAAGUAAGGAUGAAGAAGAUUUUUGUUGUGGAACAGGGGCAGCUCGGUGAUGGUACACCUAGAAUACUAAUAUUUUCUCUCUGGUACUAUUUUACAAAAUGUUUCGGACUGCGUGGUAGAAAUGAACAUAGGCAAUUACAAUUGGGAGAUAUUCUAAUGAAAAAGGACCCUGUGGAUAAUCGACAGUAUUUAGAAUUUUCAGAGAGACUUACGAAAACUCGUGAUGGAACCAAGGGGAAAGAGAAUCGUAAAGUAAAACCGAGACUGUAUGAAAAUAAAACUGAUCGCUGUCCAAUACGGCUUUUUAAAGCAUAUCUUAUUAGACGUCCUGAUAAUGUAAUGGAACCAGAGUCACCGUUUUAUUUGACAUGUAUUCCAAUGGAAAGAGUUGAAUCCAUGAUAUGGUAUUACGCAAGGCCUAUGGGAGAAAAUACACUGGCAAACUUGAUGCCAAUGGCCGCAAAAGAAGCUGGGAUGGACCGUAAAACAAACCACAGUGUGCGUAAAACAACAAUAAAAACCCUUCGCAAGGCAGGUGUACCUAGAGACAAAAUCAAACAUAUAUCUGGUCACAAAAGUACAAGUUCGAUUGAAGCUUACGAUGAUGAUCUCUCCGAUAAUGAGCAAAGGGAAUAUUCAGAUGUAUUAACUGGUGUUAAAUCGUCAAUUGGACAAUCAGUGACCGCAAAUGAAAGUGACAAUAUAUUUAACAAUAUGGCUUUACAGAAAAUUCACCGUCCUACUGUUUCACACCAAAUGAGCCCUCCGAUGGCCACAUCUUCACAGUCUGUAUGUUCUUAUACUGCUGCGCCUAAUAAUAUUCAUGAACAAUCUUCUAAAGGUGCGUCAGAGGCAUUAUCUAACAUGUUCAGUAAAGGCACUGUUUUGAAUAACUGUACUUUUAAUAUUAACUUUAACAUGGAACAGUCAAAUGGAGAAGGUCAGAGACAAUCUAGGCAAAAUUACUGUUAUGAACCACCAAGGAAAACAUACAAGAGAAUUCUUCCGUUGGAAUCUUCAGACGAAUCGCAAGAAUUCUAGACCAUAGACUUUUCAAAACCUAUGAAAAUUUUAUGGACACUUUUUUAUUGUUGAAUUAAUAUUACUUAUUAAACAUGUUAAAUUGUUGAAAACUGAUUUAUUUUCUUAAAAAAUACAAAAAAGACAUCAAUGCAAUAAUAAAUUACAUUUUAAAAGUACAUUUUUGUCAAACUAUCAGGAUCGGACCUUUAAACAACAACAAAAAUCAUUCAAUUUAUUAUCGUCACUUAGUGUCCUUUGUCUUUCAUUGAUAUCGCCUUUAAAAAAUACCAUAUUAAUAUCGCCCUUGGCAAUAGUGUUGACUUGAGUUAUUGGAACUGUACACAAUAUACAUGAUAUAUAGUUGGUCAUUUCAUGAUAUUGGACUGCUACAAAUUAUAUUUGCACACUCUGUCAUUAUUUUAUAGGAAUGCUACCAAUAUGAAAAAGAACAGAUAUGGGACAAUGGCACAAAGGCAUCACAAACUCACUAAAUCUAACAAAAAAAAAAAUCCUAAGCUGACAACACAGGAGAAAAACUUGCACACUACCUCCUUCUUAAUAUCCGAAAGCUGCAAAAUAUACCAAAUGUCAUUUCGGUCAGAAAAAAUCUGGUUCAAUUAUUGUGGUCACUUGUCUGUCUGUCUGUUCUCCAUAUUGUCACCACUUGUCCAUCUGUAUUGAGUGUAAUCUGUCACUAAGUUAAUUUUUAUUCAAUUUAUUGUUGUCCAUGUCUGUCUGUCAUCCGUCAACAGGGAAAACAUGACUGUCAUGAGUCUCAUCACAAUGAUCAAUUUUACUCGUAGUAAAAGUUUUAAAAAAAAUACAACUUCAAAUUAUUUUUUUUUCAUUUUUUAUUUAUUUAAAGGUUAACCAUGAAUGAAAUAUUUUACAAAGAAAAAAAUAUCACUCACCCCCAAAAAAUAUCUAAAAUAUUAUUGCACUAGUGCAAAUAACAUUUAUUAGCAUUAGUGCAAUAAUAUAUACUUGUCUCUAAAAACUUGUAUUUUGACUGAAUAUAACAGAAAUUUUGUGUGUAAAAUAUUUAUUACUAUAUAAUAAAAGGGUUAUUGCAUUAAUAUUGGUGGAUAUUGCCCUCGCAGUAUAUUCAUAUUGCACUCGUAAACUCGUGCAAUAUGAUAUACUGCUCGGGCAAUAUCCACCACAAUAUUAAUGCAAUAACCCUAUAUUAUUAAUAUUAUAUUAAUAUUAAUAUUUUAUUAUUAUUAUUAUUAUUAUUAUUAUUAUUAUUAUUAUUAUUAUUAUUAUUAAUUCUUUAUUUAAAGAGGGUAAACAUAGCUACAUUAAAUACUUCCAUUCAUAUAAAAAUAAAGAGAUGCUGUAGGAUUGCAAUUGAGACAGCCAACCAUUUGAAGAUCAAAUGAACUUAAUGUAAGCAAUUAUUAUAGGCUACAGUACAGAUUUCAUUAUGACAUCCAUUUUCACUGAAGAUUCUGAACUAGUACACAUUUUUAAUUACGGGCCAGCUGAUCGCAUACCUCUGGGUGCAGGAUUUUCUUGCUGCGUUGAAGACCCCUUGGUAGUCUCCUGCUUUUGGUUUCCACUAUGACAUAUUCCCAUUCUGUAAAAGGCCCUGACAUGAAAAAUAUGAAACAUUUCUAUUUAAAAAACACUCUCAACCUGUUUUAACGUUUAGUUACUACAAUGAGUUUCCUUUGUAUAUCAAUAUGAAUCAUGUUGACCUUAUAAAUAUCAAAUGAUGUUGUAAUACCAAUAUUACAUUAAAUAGUGCUGUUAUGAAUUAUUUCAUAAAAUCAGUAAAUAUGUACAAAAUUUGAUAUUAUCUAUAUAUACAGCAUUGCUUUUUUAUUCAGUUCACUAAAAAAAGCAAUAAAAAUAUUAUAGCAUACCAAUAGUUCACAAUUUGUAAUUUUUGCCAAAGUAAUGAUGACCCCAAAAACUUAUAAAUCCAUUAUUUCAAAUGCACACCCAUUAUUUCAAAUUUGUAGACCCAUUUUUUUCAAAUUUGUAAACUUCAACAGUCAAAUAACAAAUAUUAUCAUAUUUUAUAAGCAAGAUUUAGCAUAGAGACAGAAUAACGAUUAAUUUGAAUAGGAGAUCAAUUGAUCACUAUGAAAUAUAUGUAUCUUUCCAUCCCUGUGUUUAAAUGGCUGUCAGCUUGACAAGUCUGGUUAUUGUCAUAAUUCACCCAGGUUUAAUAACCAAUUCCCAUUUCUUUUUUCCGGUCAUUAACAAGUAUCAAAGUAUCGGAAUAUAUAAAGAUAUUAUUGACAGAAACAUCAGACCUCAUAACACUUCCAGUUAAUCAAUGGUGAAUUCUUUAUAAAGUGCUGACUCUUUCUUCCAUUUAUAGCGGUAUAACACAUUGUAGAUUAGGUUAUUCCAUUUUUCUGAGAAAUAGACCUCCAUUUUUUAUGCCCCAUCUGCAGUGGAGGGGGCAUCAAGUGUUAUCUUUGUCAUUGUUUGUCCUUUUGUAUGUAUAUCUGUAAGUCCAUAAAAAUGUCCUGAAAUUGGUUACCAUUCACUUACAACCAAAUUUUACGAAACUUAUACACAUUGCUUAUUACCACAAAACAUUUAAGUUUGUAUUUUGGUUGUGUCAUUUUUACUGUUCUAGAGUUAUGUCCCUGUAUAACAUUAUAUGCCAGCAGGGGGAUCAUCUGUUACAAUCUGUGUACAUUCUCCAUUUAUUUUUAUUAUACCCUUGCUUUAUACUGUUAUACUGUCUGUCCAUCUUUCAGUCUGUCCAUCAGUCCCAUGAAUAAGUUUUGUCCCAUCUUUCUCAGGAACUACAGCUAUAUACUGUGUGAUGCAUUUUCGUAUUCAUCAAUCAACAACUUCCUGUAUACCAAACACUUGUAUCAUUUUACACAUAACUCCAAUGUUAAGUUGAAAAUUUUUGUCACAUCUUUCUUAUGAACUACAAUACAAGGAUUACUGAAAUUUAGUUUUAGGGUUUAUACAAGUCAGCUACAUGUAUACUGUGUGAUGCAUAUUCAGUUUCAUCACUCAACAACUUCCUGUUAAUGCUUGUUUUAAGGUAUUUAGUUUAUAUAAUAGGGAUCUUACAAGAAUCAGGUCUAAGCUGUUUUAUAUGGGUAAACUGAUAAAGAAAAAUGAAUGAAGCAAGGAAUGUAACGUUCACAUCUUUUUCACUUUAUUUAGCAUAUUAUGUUUCUUUAUUUAGAUUUCAAAUUUGCGCUAUUACUUUCACUUUGCAGUCUUUAUAUUCACAGGUUAUAUAUAUCCUUAUACAAUAUUAAAACCUAAAUUAACAACACCAUCUUUAGAAUGUAAUAAGGUUCAAAUAGUAUAUCCAUUACCUACAAAUGGUUUAUUUCUGUAAGAAAGAAACCCUUGACUUGGCUGCACUAGGGAAGUGCUAUAAUUGACAUUUCCUUUCUUUAAUCAGAUACCUUAUAAUGUCUUCCUUCUUGCUAUAAAUAAAGUCAAGUUGGGGAUGAUUAAAAACACUUCAUUAUAGUAUAGAUUUUUGAUUCUAGCCAAUUAACAAAGAUUUUAUAUUCUUCAGAGCUUUCUAACUUUAUGUAUUAAAAGCUACCUUUAAAUACAAAACUUAGAUUUAUAUUAAAUAAUCGUUGAUUUAUGAAGUCAGAAUGAAGGAAAGAAAUCUAUUAAUCUGACUGGAAGAACAAGUAUAUAUGUUCAAAGUGUUUGGUAUUUGGUAUUUAAUGUAGGUCAUCAGUUGUGUUCUGUUCCAAAAGAACUGUCUAUCCAAUUCAAAUAUUAUGAACUCAAUGACAGGAGUGAUCCUUUUAGUGUGUACAUACAUGUAGUAUGUAAUUUUAAGGCUACAAAUGCUCAGUUACAAUUGUCCUAUAUCUUGAUUACCAUAAUAGAUACAAGAGUUGUGACUAAUGAAAUUUUCAGAAAGUUAAAAUCUGUCUUGUACUUUUAUACUUAUAUUUGCCAUUCUACCAAACUGAUCAUAAGUUCUUAAAAGUAUUUGUUUAUGAAUGUCGGUCUUCAUGUCCAAUGGAAGUUUUCUUGCAUUUCUCUCAUGAAAACAAUUCAGAGCAUCCUGAAGUUGUAGUAUCAAGGUUCAUGUGAGCUUGCUUUACUGGGUUAUAUGUUUUCACAUCCAUCACUCAUCAUGUUUACCAAAUUCUUGUAAUGGUGGUAGGUAUCAUUAGAGAACCUAGCUGACAAUAUAACUUAUUUUGUCUUUAGUUAUUUCAUUAUUUUCUCUUCAGUGAUGUUGUUUAACCUUUUGUCCUUCUGAUACCCUGACUAAUGACGAUGAGAUGUAUAAACUGAUAUUUGAAAAAACAAAUACAUUAAUGAUUAAAUUAAUCAAAACUAUGGCAGAGAGAAUCCAUUUACAAAUGUCUUUUUUUUCAUUUCUGUAGUAGCAAUGUAUGUUCUAUAGGUUACAGUCUAAUGAAAUACCAUUCUCUAAGGGUUAUUUGUAAAAUUCUGAUUUUAGUUGUAAAGAAUUUGUCCUACUAAGUUUAUUCAUGAAUUGAUUAAUCUAUUGCAGGUUGUGAUUUCCCCAAACUUCCGAAGCAGCUUGAUGAAAUCCCGUCUGCAAAUGAAUUUCCGUUGUUCCGACACCGCUGGAAUUCCAAUGAAGUAAGAUCUGAUUGUAACAUGUCAUUAAUUAUGUCACAGCUAGUUAAUUCCUGCUGGGGAUUAAUAUAUCUACAGUGUUUAUUGCUUAUCUUAUUGUGGUUAUUGAGUGGGCAUGAUAACUAUAAUGUUUAUAACCCAUCUUAUUGAGUGGGGAUUGAUGCAUGAUGGUUUAUUACAAUGGGCUCAGUGACUUAGAGAUUUGUAUAUAUACAUUUAUAGGAAAUCAAGUGAUUGCCUGACAUUAAUUAGAAAUUAACUUGGCAGAUUAUUAAGAAUAAUAUUGACUUUGUUUGGGAUUUUUAAAUGUAUUCUGGUCCAUUAUAAGAUUGUAUUGCCCAAAAUUACAACCCGCCGUUCUGAUAAUUCUAUAAAUAUCUUCUCCAAAAAUUAUUGAGCUUGCUUAUGAGGAUAAAGAUUUGUAUGCCUUAAUAUUGCCUAUAAUAAUAGAUGUGCACUAUGUUUUAGGUUUUAGGUUUUAUUAAAAGCUACCCAAGGGGUAAAACUUCUUUGACCUUUACUUUAUUUCUAAAUGCCACACAUGCAAUAUUAGUGCCAUGUUUAUUUAAAUGAACAGUCUGUGCACUCAUUAUUCUGAUUAAAAGGCAUAUCUUAAGUGUCCAUUCACUUACAAUCAUCUGUCAAUUGCAUUCUACUUUCUGUUUUAAAGACCUUGCGGGAUCCUCAGGUUUGUCAUAAUGAUAUACACUUUCAGAUGUUUGUAGGCAGGAAUUUCAUUGGUGGAUAGUAUUAAAUCUAGAUCAAAAAGUAGAUUGUAAAAUUGUCAGAUCAUAAUGCAAGCAAAAUAUGAACAUAGUCUCUGAAUUUAAAUCAAAUUGAACACCCAAUUCUAGUGACCUUGAGAAAUGUAAAACAAAGGAGUAUAGAGAACAGAGUAUAUAAUCUGAAUAUCCUUCACCUCUCUAUUACCAUCAAACAGUAAUAAUUAGUUGUUACAGAAUACUCCAGACAUAAUGGGAAUGAAGAGCUGGGUGUAUAACGUACGUGGCAUCCUGUCAUAUUGACUCCUGUCCGUAAUGAAACAGGAAAUCACCGUAAUCACAUGAUAUUAGACGUUAACAUCCAGUAAUUGCAGAGUUGUGGCAGGAUGUAGUGCUAAUGUAACAUAGUGAGCUUCUUUUGUUGUGAUUCAUAUAAAGCCAUUAUAAAGACAAGAUUUUUCUAAGAUUUUUAAGAUAUCUAAUCACAUUUCCUGAAUGCUCUUAUUAGGUAUGGUCUUAAUUUAUGAUAGGAUGAACUUUUUAACAAAAAAUGAUCUUUGCUUUUACAUGAUUUAUUUUAAAUAGAUGUUUGAUGAGUUGUCACUAUAAAGGCAUUUAAUAAAUAGAAAAGAUUUAGGAAAAUGUAUUUUAUUUCGUAAACACCAACGGUACAUGUAAUGCAAUCUGAAAUAGCAUUAUUCAUCCUUUUCACGUAGUGUAAAUCGUUAGUUUUAUUUUAUAGGCAUGAUAGGUAUGGAUUUUCAUAAUUUCAUGAAGUUAGAAUCACUAAAAUUUACUUUUGCUUAAAUUUGUUUUUCAAAGAAAACUCAAAUAGUGUACAAGAAAAUUGAAAGUUAGAAUAAAACCUCCAAAACAGGUUUUGUCCUAGAACUCUCAAAGUUUAAACUGUUCAAAAGCAGCCCUCUAUUUAGAGAAUGUUGAGAAACAUGUUACUACAAUUACAAAAAUGUACAAAAAUCUUGCUACUUUAUUGGAAAAGAUGGAGAACAAUCCCAUAUUUUUAGAACUAGACUAUAGAUGCUAUUAACUGUUGACAGGUCAAACACUGUCAUCAUCUUUCAGUCCGUUUAUGAUCAAAACAAAUGGUUAGGUGAUGUAGUUUAGAAUUUACAUAUAUAUUAAAGAACUGGUCUAAUUGCUAAUAUUGAGACAGACGAAAAGGUUAGUAAUUUUGAAGACCUGAUCCACUCAGUAUUGUGAAUUGUCAUGUGUUACAGAAAAAAUCAGUCCAUUUACUUAAUUCUUCCUUUAUUCCUGAAAUAGAAAAUAAAAGUAAAAUUCUCCAAUCCUUUUAGACUUUUAAUAUGUUUAUUGAUAUUUAAAAAGAAUUAUAUAUGUGGUAACUUUAUGAUUGAAAAAAUGUAGUCUUUUUGUAUGUUUAUUUUGGUGAACUUAGUCUCAACUUUCAUGGGAUGUGUAUAUUAGUUUUAUGAAAUAUUAAAAAGGUAGAUUGUGUAGGUAUAAAAACCCAAUUGAUUUUGUAUUGUAUAAAAAGAUAUAUAUCUAGUAUAAAGGAAACCUUAUUGAUUUUGUUUUGUACAUUAAUGAUUCAAUUUUGGAAUUCAAUGUGUUUACUGCACAUAUUGAGAUCUUUAACCCCUAUCAAAAACUUUGGUGAAAUGUAUCAAUUUAUGAUUGGAUUUUCUGGUCCUUGAACUUGGAUUACUGUUUUAUUUAGUCCUUGUAUUUAGGCAUCUAGAAAGAUAGUAAAUACAUAUAGCUCUCUUUGACAUGGCAGACAGUGAUUGAAAUUAUUAGCAAAGGAAAACUAUCUGAUUUAGCUAGAUAAUUGCAAAAUCUCAGCUUUUUUACCAAUUUAUAUGGUUAAUAUUUUGUUUACAAGGACCGGAACAGAUGAUGACUGCUUUAAUUAUAAAUGAUUGUUUUAAUUAAUUUAGUAGAAUCUUGAAUUACUCAGUCUCUUAAAUAUGGAGACUUAUAUUAUAAUAUUUAUACCUAUAAUAGAGAUUACAGUUGAUAUGUGUUUCAAAUUGGCAUUUGAUUGACAUCUUUGCACAAAAAAUGAGAAAAAAACUUAAUUCUGUAGAUUAUAUGUCUAUCAAACACUUUAUUAAUAUGAAAGUUAAUAUAAAAGUGCCAGUAUAAAUCUGAUAAACUGUAACAUAGAUGAUUGAAGAUUGUCAUCUUAUUAAGUCUGUGUAUAGACAAAGAAAAUUUGCUGGUAGGGUGGUUAGAGUCUUCAGUGUGUCUGGCUUAUUGACAAAUUUCACUUGACAAACAAAAUACUCAUCUGAUUAGACACUUACUGUUAAUUGAAUGACCAAAAAACAAACCCCGUCUGGUAGGCUGGUACUGUGGUAAUUAUGAAAGGAAAAUCCUGCUCGGAUAUUGCACACCGAAUGACAAAAGUUGUCAAAAAAUUAAAAUAUGACAAAAGUUAAGACCAACACUCAGAUUAGACUUAUUCUUAAAUAUUCGACUUUUUCCUUCUCUUUGGUCGUGCUGUUGUCUCUUUGACACAUUCCAAAUUUCUAUUCUUAAUCUUUAUUUGACCUGUCUCAUCCCAAGUUCAAUUUUGAAAAUUUCAAAUAAAAUUUUGGGUUGUUUCACAUCCAGUUUUGAUUUAUAGAAACAGAAAGGCUUGUUCAGACCAAGAAGGAGGAAUGGAAAUGAAUUAAAAGAAAUUUUGUUCUGUGCAUUAGAAUAAGAUAUUUUGACACAUGUUUAAUCAUAUAUUAGUUUUAAUUGCUGCCUUGAUACUGUUUCCCUUUCAAAAGUGUUGCAAUGAUAGUUUUAAGGAGACUAUUUGUGUUACUGUCAAUGCUUAACAGAACUUGAUGUCUUUGAAUUGUUUAGUAGCAGAAUUAAUGGUUUUCCUCUUGGCUUUUGUUUCUGUAACAAGGAUUGUAUUUCUAGAGAUAUUAUGUAAGUAAAUAUCUAAUGGAUUGUUUUACAGGUGGAAAUAGAAGGUAGUAUAAACAUUGUUAUAAGAAUAGUAGAUUGAUUGUAAAUUGUGAUAAAUUAAGUCUGACAGGUGCUUGUACAUUUUAUUGUUGUCAGUUUCAGGUAGGUCUAAUAACCUGAGGUUUUAACAGUGUAUAAAUCAGAAUUAUUUUGGCAGUUAUGGUCUGUCCAGGAGGUUGUAUUGUUCUUUAUUUUAAAUACAGUCUGUAUGGCUCAAGUGCUAGCAGUUGUUAUUUUAAUUUGUGCCCCAUUUACCCUGUUUAUUACAGUCAGUCAAAUUGGAGUUUGAAUCAACUGGUGAUUAGGUAGUUUUAGUUUGGUUUGAUGGCUGUUGGUUUAGUUCAAGUUUUAAAUAAAAUUGAGAAUGGAAUUGAGAAAAGAAUACUGAGGUGUCAGUCAUGUACCUGAGGUUUUAAAAUCUUGCCAAUUCAAGUUUUAAAAGUAACAUGCUUGUUUGUGCUGUCACUUAGGCUUGGAGUUUGUCAAAACUCUGUAUUCCAACGAGGUGCUAAAUGAUGACAAUCAUAUUAACUACCCAUGGUGCAUUAUUUAUUUUUAUAUAUAUAUAUAUUUUUUCAAAAGUCAGGAUUUUACAUUAACCUUAAAUUCAGCAGCACCUGACUAAGGUGUUACAGGGUUUUUGUCUCGCCUUGUUGGAGUAAAAAAACGAGACAUUGGUAUGCUGUUUCCAGUGUCGGCGGCGUCAGCGUCAAAUGUGUAUCGUCUAUUGACUUCAAAACUUUUGCUUAUUUUACAUGUAUUAGUUUGUGAUUAUAUAAGGUCCGUUUAUGGGGAACCCCAAGUGGUAGAUCAAUGAUAUUUGUAGUUGUGUAAGCAUCGGCAUAUCUUAUUUCCAUGGAGAUAAUUAGGCUCCGCCCCCUUAGUAUGAUGGUCUAUUGACUGAAAAUUUUUCUGAGUUAUAAUAUAUUAGUUUGUGAUUACAUGUAGGUAAAUUCAAGGAGGAACCAUUAGUGAUAGGGCAAUGUUAAUAGGUAUUCAGUUGUAUAAGCAUUGGCACAUCUCAUUUCCAUGAAGAAUAUUUGGCCUCACCCCUCAGUCACAGUCUAAUGACUUUCAAAAUUAUCUUAGUUUACAUGUAUUAGUUUGUGAUUAGAUCAGUUUAAGAUGAUAUUUGGUAUGCAAAUUUAUUGGCAUUUGCAAGUAUUAUUUCCAUGGAGAUUAUAUAGCCCCACCCCCUCUCAUUGACUUUGAAACUUUUCUAUAGUUUACUACUUAAUGUUUGUAUUUAGAUUUGGGAACAACUUAUGAUAAGUCAAUGGUCAUGAUGGUAUUUGGUAUGCAGCUGUAUAAGCAUUGGCACAUCUCAUUUAGAGGAGAUUUUUUAGCCAUGUAACUCAGUCAUGGUUCAUUGACUUUGAAUAUUUUCAUAACUUGUGUAAGAUGUGAAAGUAUUGCUAUUUUGAUUUCAACAUUUGCAUAAUCAAAAUUACAAUUAGGCGAGACAUAUCUCUGUGAUAACAGUUCAUAAGAAUAUAAAGACGAAAGACUACGGUUUUACCAAGAUAUUAAAAACUGAAAUAUAGAUCAUUUAAAAUCUCUUUUUGUCUCUCUGAUUUUCUCCUCUCUCUCGAUCUCACUCUCUUACUGUCACUGACUAUAUAAAUAUAUAAUAACGAAUAGCAUGAUAGAAUGAAUUGGAUUCUAAUAGAGUUUAACUCUGUUAUACUUAUCACAAGUUUACAGGUAGACAAGAUAAAAAAGAUAAUAAGUAAUUAAUUUCGUUGUAAGCAAAUUUAACAGUGUUACAUAAAUCUCAUUUAUAUGAUAAUCUAAAGUGUUAUGAAAUCUAUUUCACAUGGUAAGUUCCUUAAAGUCAAUCUCACUCUAUUUUAAUAGACUAUUUUCAUAUCACCAACUUUUAACUCUGAUGUUUAUAUUUUUGUGACAGGUUACCUUCUCUGUGGUUGGACAUCCUGGUACUAUGUCAAGUAGGAGCAACUUAAAGAAGUCCUGCUCGCUGGCCUUUGCUUUUCAAGCUUCGCCUCAAAAAUUUGCAAAUUAAAUAUUUUUUUAUUAAAAUUUUUGGAGUCCAAAAAUCCAUAGAACAAGAAAUCAAAUUGGUGUGGCCUAAACUCUUAUUGAUAUAAGUAUGUUUUAUUGGAUUUAAUAACCUAGUUAUUUGCUAGUAAAAUUGGUUUAUUGGGCUACCAGUGCUGUGGUAAUAGAUCAUUUAUAAUAGUUUUUGGUACAUACAAAUGCUUUUACUUAACUUAUGUUAAAGUGUAGAACAAGUUAAUAUGAUUAUUAUAAGUAUUUGCACAAGCUAUGUUAUACAGGGAACAGCAGCUGUUACAAAAUAUAUCUCAAACAAGAUGUAGAAAAUCUGGCUUAGUUAGUCAAUAAAAAAUAACUUGAAUAAACUUAUAAUAUUACAUUUGUGUAAACAGACUAAUUCUAAUCAGACAUAAUUUGAACUUUUCACUUUUCAACCUAGAUAUCUGACUAGUAAAUUUAAUAGAAAAGAGCAGAUAUAUAGUGGAUCAUUUCAUGACUUUUAAAAAAAACAAAACAAGUGUCCAGGAGUGUCUUUAACCAUGAGGUAAACUGUCUAGCCUUACUGCAAGUUCAUGACCAACUCUACCAAUGGGUUAGAGCAGAUUAGUUCUAUUUUGUCUUUUAGAAUUGUUUGUUUGUGGUUGUUGUUUAGUUAACCUUUCAAUGACCUUUGCUCUAUCAUGGUGGCCAGUUUAUCUGAUUUAUUGAAAUAAGGUAUACAGAGUUGUCACAAUAUUCCUGGUUAUUUAAGAUUACUCCUCUAUUAACAAGAAUAAUGAGCUGUACAAAGUAUUGCUGUUGAUCAGGUCAAACGUCAUUAGCUUUACUUAAUAAAUAGGUAGGAUAUAAGAAGAUGUGGUAUAAGUGUGACUGAGACAACUCUCCAUGUAAGUCAUAAUUUGUAAAAAUAAACCAUAAUAAGUCAAAGUACGGUCUUUAGCAGGAAGCAUUGGCUCACACCAAACAGCAAGCUAUAACAGACCUUAAGACCUUAAGAAUGAGUAAUGUAAAACCAUUCAAACCGAAAAACCAACGAUCUAAUCUAUAUAAGUGUCUUGAUGUUAGUUAUAUAAUAACACUUUACUUUGUUUCAGGAGGUGGCAGCUGUCCUGACUGCAUUUGACAAACAUAAAGAAUGGAUGUCACUAGAAGUCAAAAUCAGGUAGGUUUCACCAGAGUUUCAAAAUCAUAUUCCCAUUAAAGGUCUAACUCAUUGCCAAAACUCUCAAUAUUGAACAUUUUUAGAUGUAAGAUUAUAUAUUUCUCUUUGUCACACUAUACAUUUUAAGUGUGCAUAACAAACUUAUUCGGAAAGUUUCUUUUUCUUAUUUGUUGUGUUACAUUUCUUCCAUUCAACACAGAAAGUGAAUAAAAAAUUAUUAAUGAAAGCCAUGCCUAUUAUUGUGUUAAAUCAAGUGUUUGCGUUCAAAGUUUUUAGUGAAUUCAAAGUUUUUAGUGAAACAAAAUAAUAUGAAAUAGCAGACCAGCAUCAUUUUGUUUUUUUUUUAAAUUCCAAGGUUAAGUGAAUUUUAUAGAAAUUGAGUUAUCUAUCUUGGAUUGUCAAGGCUGUAUUUUGCUUUUCUUAAAAGCUACUUCAGCAAAGAAAGUAAUUGUGUUGAUAAUAUUAAAAUUAUGCUGUGAAUAUGUCUCAUAGAUUUAAAGAUAAAUCAAAGUAGAUUAAUGUCUCGUGGGAGACUGUCUUUUAAAUAAGUUUAACGAUUGACAUUUUUUGGACUGAAUGCUUUCUCACUACCUGAUUGGAAGAUAUUACUGACUCUUAAUAAAAGUAUGUUGAUUGGUUGUGGCAAUUUUAAACCUAGUAAAUAUCUUCAAUACUUGCAGAGGUUUGAAUUGUUUAUUUUAGUUAUUAAAGUUGCAUUGUGAUCAAUCAUGCAUAUCUGUACAUAUAAAUGUUAUUCCAUGUAGCUGGUUAUUUAAAAAAGUGCACCACAUUUUUGAGGUGAUUUCCAAAAAACAAAAAUAUUAGUCAUUCCUUAUAUGUAAAUCAUGAAAAAAGGUUUAUGCCACCACAUUCACAUGACAAAAUCUUGUCUAUGUACUGAUAGACAAAUAACCUUUAAGCCAAUCAGAAGACUUGUUACAUCCAAAAUUAUUUUUUUUGUCCUUUGUAGGCCCCCAAGUGGUUCUAUGAUACUGUACAGCAGAAAGAAAGUAAGAUACAAAAAGGAUGGUUACUGCUGGAAGAAGAGAAAAGGAGGAAAAAAUAUAAGAGAAGACCACAUGAAGCUCAAAGUUCAAGGGUUAGAGGUAAGUCAUAAAUAUAUGAGAAGACCAUAUAACGCUCAAAGUUCAAGGGUUAGAGGUAUGUCAUAAAUAUACGAGAAAACCAUAUGAAGCUCAAAGUUCAAGGGUUAGAGGUAAGUCAUAAAUAUAUGAGAAGACCAUAUGAAGCUCAAAGUUCAAGGGUUAGAGGUAUGUCAUAAAUAUACGAGAAAACCAUAUGAAGCUCAAAGUUCAAGGGUUAGAGGUAUGUCAUAAAUAUACGAGAAAACCAUAUGACGCUCAAAGUUCAAGGGUUAGAGGUAUGUCAUAAAUAUACGAGGAGACCAUAUGAAGCUCAAAGUUCAAGGGUUAGAGGUAUGUCAUAAAUAUACGAGAAGGUCAUAUGAAGCUCAAAGUUCAAGGGUGAGAGGCAAGUCAUAAAUAGGAGGAAAAGAUAUACGAGAAGAUCAUAUGAAGCUCAAAGUUUAAGGGUGAGAGGUAUGUCAUAAAGAGGAUCCCAAGUCACAUAGAUUUCACUGGAGAAAACCAAAAUAUAGAAUGUAUAAAUAUAGGAAGAUGUGGUAUGAUUGGCAAUGAGUCAACUCUCCACAAGAGACUAAAUGAUACAUACAUUAACAAUUAUAGGGAACUGUACUGCCUUCAACAAUAUGCAAAGCCAAUAUUGCAUAGUUUGAUAUAAAAGGCUCGGAAAUAACAAGUGUAAAACAAUUCAAACAAAAAAAGUUAAAUCCAGAUUUAUGUACAAAAUGAUGGGGAAAAAACCCGAGCAAUCUGCAUAUAAAUCUUAAAAUUUUUAUGCAACAAAUAUCAUUAAUAACUAUAAUUUAAAAAACGAAGCACACUUUGUAACCAUAGAUUACCUUUUUUCUAAUUCCUAAUUAAGGAGUAUGUAUAUGUUACUCACCUUUUCCAAAUAUAUAUUAUAUUUUUAUUUUCAGUGUAUUUAUGGUUCCUAUGUACAUUCAGAUAUUCUACCCACUUUCCAUAGAAGAUGUUAUUGGUUGUUACAGGUAUGUAAAAGAUGUAUUAGUGUCAGUGUUUACUGACUAUUCCUAAAUAUAUUCUUUGAUUUCUUCAUACAUGAAACAUUGAUCAGUAUUACAAAAAAAGGCUACUGGAAAAUAUUUAAUGUGUAUGAUAUGUCAUAACUCUAGAUGCAGUGUUUUAAGUUUUUUGAAGUGCAACUUUAUAUGAAAUUGACUCUUAACACAAUCAAUGCCACUUCAACACAAUGCUAAAGAAUGUUCAACAGAUCUGCAUAGUAUUGAUUCAGAACACUUAUAUGUACAGAAAAACAUCUAAAAAAUCAUUACUUGGGCAUUCAAAAAUCUACCUUAAGUUAUUUCUUGAAUGAGGACAUGCAAUAAAUAUUCAGUCUUUAUCAUAAACUUUUGAAUGAACAGGCUUAAAGGUGAAUUUUAGGAAAAUUUAAGUUUGAUUCUAUUGGCUUGUAGAUAUAGUUAUAUGCCAGGCAGCUUUUUUACGAGCCUGGGCUGGUGGGCCUGUGGUUGAGCACAUUAAUCAAAACAAAAAUGUUCAUUCCUAUGCAGUUUCUUUGUAUUUUAAAAGCAUGUAAUUAUGCUGAUUUCAUGAUUUAUGUGUACUUUCCAGAAUCCUGACAUAGUGUUAAUUCAUUAUUUAAAUGUCCCCUAUCCUGACGACGGCAAGGUAAAAAUUCCCAUGAUGCCCGGUUCUGUCGAGAAGAAAGAAUGGACAAAAGAAGAACUAGUAGAACAGCUAAGACCAAUGUGUAUGUAUUAUACAAUACUGGGGAUUCUCUACUUUAUUGUGGACACCAAUCUUUGUCAAGCCUGUGACUUUUGUUGAAGAAAGCUUGACAUAGGGAUAGUGAUCCGUCGGCGGCUGCGGUGGCGGCGUUAGCUUACUCUUAAAAGCUUUAUAUUUUAGAAGGUGGAAGACAACUGGAUGCUUCAUACUUUGUAUAUAGAUGCCCAUGUUACGAAGUUUCUGUCAGUCACAUAUCUAAUGUCCUUGACCUCAUUUUCAUGGUUCAGUGACUACUUGAAAAAAAAGUUAAGAUUUUUUUGUAAUGUUAAAUUCUCUCUUAUUAUAAGUAAUAGGAUAACUAUAUUUGAUAUGUGCGUACCUUGCAAGGUCCUCAUGCCGUCAGACAGUUUUCACUUGACCUCGACCUCAUUCAUGGAUCAGUGAACAAGGUUAAGUUUUGGUGGUCAAGUCUAUAUCUCAGAUAUUAUAAGCAAUAGUCUAGUAUAUUUGGUGUAUGGAAGGACUGUAAGGUGUACAUGUCUAGCUUGCAGGUGUCAUCUGACCUUGACCUCAUUUCCAUGGUUCAGUGGUCAAAGUUAAGUUGUUGAGUUUGGGUCUUUUUUUCUAAUUCUAUAUGCAAUAGGUCAAUUAUAUUUGGGAUAUGGAAAUAUUUUAUGAUCUAUAUGUCAGUCGCCCAGGUUUUAUUUGACCUUGACCUCAUUUUCAAAGCUCAUUGCUCAGUGUUAAAGUUUUGUGUUUUGGUCUGUUUUUCUUAAACUAUAAGUAAUAGGUCAACUAUAUUUGUUGUGUGGAAGAAUGUUAGCUGUUCAUGUCUGCCUGGCAUGGUUCAUCUGACCUUGACCUAAUUUUCAUGGUUAAUGUUAAGCUUUUGUGACAGUUGUAAUAAAGCUUUAUAUUUAGGACUAUAAACCUAAUAUCAAUGAUAAGUAAAGAUGGCAAGACAUUUCAGCUUGUGCACUCUUGUUUACAAUCUUCAAAUUAGGAUAGAAUGUUUUAAAUAAAAAAAAAAAUUAAUGUUUUAUCAAAAUUAAAAUGUUAAAGGAAGAUAAUAAAUUAUUUGAAAAUGGAAAUUGUUGCAAAAUGUAAACUUUUGACUGAAAUGUGUUUAAGCAAUGUACCUUUAAUAUGAAACUGAUAUACUAUAAGAUUUCAACUCUUCAUUAAUUUAGAUUACAUAUUUAACCGCCAUUUCAUUAAUGAGAAGGCUAAAAUUCGUGAAGAUUAUUUUUCACAAUAAUUAAACCAAAAUUAAUAUUGGUUAUAUCUAUUGUUUUUUUUUUAAGUUUUCAAUUUAUGGAUAAGAUAGAAAAGAAAGGAUAUGGAAUGACAAGAUCAGUACAUGUACAAAAAAAAACCACUUUUCAUCUCAAUACCACAGUGACAUCUUCAACACUGAGCAAAAAGUCUGUUUCAUUGAAAGUUAAGAGCAAAUGAUUUAUAUAGACUUUUGGAAGAUGUAACACAACCAGUCAAAAAGAACAGACUCAACAUUCAGUUCAUAUUUAAAACAAAAUAGUUCCUAUCAAUAUAGCUCAUAUCAUACUUAUUUCCAUUUCAGUUUCUGCUGGAAGCUCAGAUCAAAUGGUUAGUGUUUUAUUAUAUAAAUAGUUAAAUUGAUUGUUAUGUGGCACAAAACAUUCAUGAUUAAUAUGUAAAAAGUAAAAAAUUUAAAAGUGCUUUUCAGUCCUAAUUUUUUUUAUAUUUGUACACAGUCACCAAAAAUAACCACUGAAAAUAAGUUCAAGCACAAAUUUUAUAGGCCCAGUACUGAGUAAUGUUUUAUGACCAUAGUUUCAGGAGACACAUUAUGCAGAUAGAUUUUUGUGACAGUUUUAUUAAUUGUUCUUGUAAUUUUUUAAUAAGAUUUCACUAGCCCUGAAUUUAGUUUCACAAAAUAAUCAAAUAGUUCUAGAAUUCGAUAACAAAAUAUAUUUAAGGAAUUAUAUGUAUUUUCUAAUUAUAUUUUUGAAAGAUUUUUUAGAAAAAAGUCUUUUACACGGAUUAUAAAAAAAGAAGAUGUGGUAUGAUUACCAAAGAGACAACUCUCCACAAAAGACCAAAAUGACACAGAAAUUAACAACUAUAGGUCAUAGUACGGCCUUUGAUAAUGAGCAAAGCCCAUACCGCUUAGUCAGCUAUAAAUUACCCCGAACUGACAAUGUAAAACAGUUCAAACGAGAAAACUAACGGCCUAAUUUAUGUAGUUUAUGCUAAUCUAUUUACAGCUUGAAGAAACAGUAGAAAAACUUGUAAAGCACCUUAUACAGUACCAUGAAAGUCAGGACAAGACCAAAGGUCAAAAUAUAGGUUACAAGAAGAUAAGUUGUCAUUCCAAGCCAGAAGAUGGGGCCAGUUCAACAGGGGAUCCGUCUUCAGCUUCUAUUCCUGAUGAUUCUCAGUGUAAAGACAUAUUAAUGAACACAGUUUGUCAACUGAAUGCUAAAACUCAACAGUCUUUCCCUCAGGCACCCCAUCAAAGGCAUUCAGGAGUAUUACAUAUCCAGCCUAAAACCAGUGAUUCUAUUCCUUGCUCAGAAAACCUCACUCAAGCUCCUUUUUUGCUCAGUGUGAGUCAGUUGCCAACGACGAGUUAUUUGCUGCUGAGUGGAGGAGUAGCCUCAAACACUGUUUCAUCUGUCACUGUAACAUCAGGUUGCCAACAGCAACCAAUUCCUCAUGUUUUGGACCAGCCUAUUCAUCAUAUGUCUCAUCCUAUCCAAGUACCUCAUAAUAUUCCGGGGCAGCUCAAUUUAUUUGCUCAUCCUAACUCUACAGACCAUGAUCCUCAUAAAACACAAAUGGUAUAUUCUGAGGCACAGAAUUUUAUGCCUACUUCCUGUACACAGACUAAAACAGAUACUGGGCACGUUCCUCAUCUACGGAAUGUGUCAGCCGAUGAUAUACAGGAUCUUAUACAUUCAUCAUUUCCUGUGGAAACAUCAAACAAUUACGCUAACUUCCCUCAAGCAAUGAAUGACAAUAACAAUACUGGGUUGCCAUUGACAACAUCAGACUACAAUAUUCUGGAUAACUUAGAUUUUGAGAUUUCUGAAAUAGAAAAACUUUACAAUGAUCUUAGUAGACAGCCAGAUACUCAUAGUUUAAAAGGGAAUGGAAUGCAUAAAAAUAAUACAUGUGAUCAAGAAUUAACCAAUGAAAUUAACUUAUUUAACAGUGACCUUGUUCAGUCAUGUCAAGUUCAACCUGAACAAAAUUUUCCAGACAUAUCAACCAUCUGUGAUAAUAAGACUGUAAAUAAUGGUAAAGGGUUGUCAGGACAUAAAGGGGAGGAGCACAAAAUCCUGGAUUACUCUCCGGAGUGGUCAAAUUCUCAGGUAUGUACCUACAAAUCCUGGAUUACUCUCCGGAGUGGUCAAAUUCUCAGGUAUGUACCAAAAAUCCUGGAUUACUCACCGGAGUGGUCAAAUUCUCUGGUAUGUACCAACAAAUCCUGGAUUACUCUCCAGAGUGGUCAAAUUCUCAGGUAUGUACCAAGAAAUCCUGGAUUACUCUCCGCAGUGGUCAAAUUCCAAGGUAUGUACCAAGAAAUCCUGGAUUACUCUCCGCAGUGGUCAAAUUGACAAAUUCCCAGAUAUUUAUGAACAAAUCCUGGAUCAUAAUCUUGGGUGUGAUCUAGUUCUCAGUUUUAAACUCUUAUAUGGUAAAAUUUUUAAGUUUCGUGUCUAAAAACUAUGGCAUUUCUCUACAAAUGCUCAUAUUCAAAAGUAAAUGUAUAUAUACAAAAUAUCCAGUAUAACUUUCCAAAUUAGUUAGAUACGAAAAGGAUGAAGGUCAAGAAAAUGUUAGAGCCCUUUAGUGUAGGAUUCACUUUGUCCGAUGAAGGUCAAGGAAGUGUUAGAGCCCUUUAGUGUAGGAUUCACUUUGUCCGAUGAAGGUCAAGGAAGUGUUAGAGCCCUUUAGUGUAGGAUUCACUUUGUCCGUCAGAUUGUUAACCAUUAUUUUUUGUGAAUGCAAAGUCUUCAAAAGUAUGGUUAGAAAUCAGAUUAAACUUUGUACCUGUGUCAUGCAAAUUGUUAAUCUUUGGUGAAAAUUGUUAAUCUUUGGUGAAAAUUGUUAGUCUUUGGUGAAAAUUGUUAAUCUUUGGUGAAAAUUGUUAAGGAGAGGAAGAGACCAAUGGAAUAAUAAAAAAUCAAAAGUUGAAAAAAAAAUGACAAUACCGUGGGAAAAUAUAUAAAAAAAUAUUAGAAAUAAUAGUCAACCAAAUUUUACUAAGAAAACAGAAGAUGGUUCAUCAACAUGCAUAAACAUUCAAAUUAAUCAGAUUCAAAUUAAUCCGAUUUUAAUCAUAGGUAAAAAAGAGGCUUAACAUACAGGAGAGACAUUUAAAGUCGAAGAAGAAAACAAUGACAAUGUAAUUGCCAUAUAUGUGAUAUCAUCAAUUGAUUUUAAGUGUAAAAUAUGUUUAUAUGUGCAUAUUUUCAAAAAUUGAUUUCUUUAUGUUAGAUAUGUUUUAUUUUGCAGGGAGGAGAAAAAGUUUUAGUUGUAGGUCCAUGGUGUUCCUUGUCAUCUCAUUAUUUAUGUUUAUUUGAUAGUAAACCAGUACCAACAACAUUAAUACAGCCAGGUGUACUAAGGUGUUUUUCUCCAGGUAAGUCCUUACAGGAAUAAUAUGAUUAAACAAUUUGGCAUAAUUCAAGUAAUUGCUAGAUUUUUAUUAGAUUAUAUUUCAUGCAUGUUGUUUAUUUUAACAAAAAUGAUUUGUUUUAAAAAAGAUGUUCACUUCAGAGAAAUAAAUGUCAAGUUUUUUGUCAAAUACAACAAUUUAUAAACUUUCCAAGUUGAUAAAAAUGAAUUGAAUGGACAGAUUUAAGUUAUCAGUCACAAUUUUUAUAUUUCUUUCAUAAAUAAAGAGUCAUAGGGUAGAUAGCAAUGAGACAGCAACUCUCCCCUUUUAUUAAUCUUGAACUUAGAUUGACAAAAUAUAUUCAUUUUCUUUAUUAUACAUCAUUGAGUUGUCUCCCAUCUAUAUUGUUUUAAUAUCCCCAUUUACAGGAUUCAAAAAUCCUAUCUGACUCUGUACCACUAAUGGAUAUAUGGUUGUUCUCAGUCAGCAAGUUUGAGAGUUGAAAUUUCAUAUACAGCUGACAAAAGAAAUGUUUAAUAGUUAAUGAUUAUACAAGAAAUAUUUAUUUUCAGCUCACAAUGGCGGAGUAGCAUCAUUACAAGUCAGCUGUGAUGGUCAUGUGAUCUCUAACUCAGUACCAUUUAAAUAUGUGUCACAUGAUGAUAAAAAUAAACACAAAAAUAACUGGUUCUCUAUUUCUGGUAAGAAUUAUUUUCUAUAUGAUUAGAGUACACAUGAUUUCGUUGACCUUUUUUUACACAUUUCUACUCAUCAAAAAUGUCUAAUGUGUUGAUAUCUCAAAACUUUUUAAAUCUUCAAAGUGGGAGAUCUCAUUUCUGACAAAACUAUAUUUUGUGUUUGAAUGAAUUAUCAUUCAUCAUUUUAAAUUGACAAUGUUAGCUAUAAACAUUCCAUCAUAUUUAGAAAGGGACUUUUGUUAGGAGAUUUUUAUUUUAAACUUUUUUUUUAUUUCUGACUUUAGUAUAAACAUUCUAAUCACAAAUAAUUUUUUUCAAAUAUACAUAUUGUAUAUAAUAUAUUGUAUAUUAUCUAUUGUAAAUCAUAUAUAUUGUAAUUGUCACAAGAAGUUUUUUUUAUAAUAGAAUUUCCUUGUUUUAUAGUUGAUGAGCUUAAGCUGAUGUUGUUAGAUAGACUGUUUGUGAUUCAGGAAAAACUGAAGAAAACAAUGUCCCGUCAGCCUAUACAAAAGGUAUGUUGUUCAAAGGGCACCUGUCUAUUAUUGAAUACUGCUUGCUGACCUUGAAGUCUGGUGGAUUAUGCAAGAAAUGCAGAAAAGACUGUGGACCCAACAAAUAAAAAUUAAAAAAGACAACAUUAUCAAAUAAAAUCAAAAAAAAAAAAGCUGCACAUUUUUGCCCUCCAUGGUUAUUGUAUUUAUCUGAUUAUUGAUAUGAAAAAUGGUAUUCAAUAAGUUGUUUUCUUUUACAGCUGAAAGAAGAACUAAGAGCAGACCAUUUUGAAAAGAAGGUUGUUUUAUAUGUAAAAUCCUUAAUUUCCAAGCCUUGGGGCAACAUGACAAUUUUUCCGAAACAAGGAAAGCACAACAUGACAUUACUUCAUAUAGCAGCAGCUCUUGGGUAUCAGGCAUUGGUUCAUACACUCAUUGUAUGGAGGUAGGUAGUAACUAGAUGAUAUUUUAUAAACAUUUAUCAUACAUUAUACAGCAACAUCAAUAAAGACAAACAAUUAGAAAAAUUAGUACAUAGACUAUUUUCCCUCCACUUAUGUUAGUAUCAUAUGCCUUUGAAAUAAACUAUGUUUUCUCUCAUUAAACUUGCAUUUAUGUGUACACGAGUCGGCAAUGCCAGCUUUUCACUUGUUCUUUUUGCAAUUUAUUUAUUGAAAGAUCUGAGUUGCUGUUUAAAUGAAUUUCACAUUUCAGUAAAUUUUAUAAGUCUCAUGUUUAAAAGCAAAUCUCACUUCCAAAUUUCGCAUCCUGCAGUCAAGGCAGAUGGAAUAUUUGUACUCAUUACACCAUUCAUUAAAAGCUAUCAAUCCCAAAAUGUUUAACAAUUGGUUUUGUCACAUACAAUGUUAUUUUACUGAUGAUCUUACUUUGUGUUUGGCCAGUACAGGUUGUAUAAUUAGUAUAUGACAAGUGUGAUGUAUAAUUUCAGGACAGAUAACCCCUCCUGGGUACUGGAUUGUCAAGUAGAUUCUCAUGCAUUAGAUGAUAUGUCGUGUACACCAUUGGUAAGUAGUCACACAUUGAAUGAUAUGUCGUGUACACCAUUGGUAAGUAGUCACACAUUGAAUGAUAUGUCGUGUACACCAUUGGUAAGUAGUCACACAUUGAACAAUUAAUGUAGUUGAGGAGUUGCUGCCAUCAGUUGGAAAUUUGAAGGUAGCAAAAACAGUUUUACUGGCCAUAGAUAUUUGUGACAGUCAUAUCAUAAUUGACCACAGCAACUUUACAACUUCAGCUCUUUUAUUUAAAUACUAAUAUAUUGAAAAAAGAAAUUGUACAUUAUAGCUUGGAAAAAAAGAUAAAUUUAAGAUUAAAUAAAGUUCUGCAAAACUCCAUGUAUGAUUAUGGCGAGUAAAGAUCAGGGCAAAACAGGAAAUUCACAUAAAUGAAAACCAAAGGUUAUUUUGUUACUUUGUACAAUUCAGAUUUGAAACAACGAUUUUGGGGUAGUUUAUGUUUUGAUAUGUUUUAUAAAUGCUUUUGAAUGACACAACAAUUUUGCCUGUUUAUUAUCACUUUGUUUUGAUUUUAAUUUUCUUUUUCUCAUGUACAUGUGACAUAGUAUUACAUUCUAUGUUAUUGAUUUACUUUUUUCAGGUCUGGGCAUGUGCAAAAGGUUACAUAUCAACAGUGCAAUUCCUCUACCAUUGGAAUCCUGAUUCAAUACAUAUCAUGACCAAAGAUCAAUUGUCUCCCUUUGCAGUAGCUAAAAAAUUUGGUCACAUCUCAGUUGUCAAUGAGUUGACUUCCCUUACAGGAAAAUCUAGCAGCCUGUCUUCCCCUUCAAAACAAAUAGAUUCUUCCAAGGCUUUUAAUACCCCUGCUGAUAAAAUGGAAGAUAACAGUGUGUUCAAGUCACCAAAUUCUGUGUUGGGAAGUCUACAUAUAGACAUUCCAGGCCAGUAUGUUCAGUCAAUGAAAAGCAAUAGACCCAAACAUUCCCUACAAUCUAGUCGACGUAAACUUGCCAAACAUUUCUCCAUUGAUUGUACACCAGAAGACUUCAGUUAUACUCCACCUAGUCAGUACGAAAGGCCAGUACGGGAAACAAACUCUGAACCCAGACUCUGUUCUGUCUCCAGUGCUUUGACAAGUACGAAAAAUCCAAUGCUUUACAAUCCAGGGAGGGAUUUGACCUCACCAGACAUACUGAUUAAACCAGACGAGGACCACAAAACAGCAAUGGACCAUACUGAAACACCAUCAGUCCAUGUAACAGGAACUACUUGUGUAGAAAUGGAUACAGGUAAUUUUGCAUUGUGGUUUAUAUACCAGUAUAUUUGCAUCUUUACUAGCACGUGUGAAUUGAAAUUUACUAACUUUAGUUAUGUGAAACAAGACUUAAAGAAGCACAUUUGAUAUAUUUAAGCUUGGUUUGUGAACCAGAUAUACUUUUUAGCAUCAUGUUUUAUCCUAGAUAUUUAAUGAUGUAAUACACAUAGCAUAAUGAUACUUUUUAUUUGCAUGAGUUUUUAUAAGUAAUUAUUAUGCUAGUGCUAUACUGCAAGAAUUCAUUCUGCUGAUCAGUGUUUUAAAGAACAAAGUGACUUUAGUGAUGAGUAUAUCAUGUGUUUGCUAGAUAUAUAGAUAUAUAUAGAUAUAUAGAUAUUGUCAUCAUUGAAGCUAUUUUAACUAUUUUUGCCAUAAUCAAUAGACUUGCCUUGUUUUCAUGCUUUGGUGGCAUUCAUGUGAAGUGUCUUAUUACGAGCAAAACAUGGAAAGAAAUCCCUAACAGUAUAAAAUAGCAUUACUAGUUCUUUGAUUUUUAUAAUAAGAGAAAAUCAUUUAUGGCAGCGAAAUGUUACUGAUAGAAAAUAACAGCAAAUUGGUUACUGUCAGAUAAUAGCAGUAAAUCUGACAGUUAAUUGCAGCACAUAGGUCACAAACAUUUAAUAGCAGAAAAUAAGUCACUACAGUUUAUAGUAACACAUAAAUAGGUCAUUGACAGUUAUUGGCAGCAAAUAAGUUACUAACAGUUAAUAGCAUAACAUUGUCACUGACAGAUAGUAGCAAAAAGGUCAUUGAUUUUUAAUAGCGUAAAAUAGCCACUGACAAUUAAUUAUUUUAAAAGGUCACUGACAAGUCAUAGCAUAAAAGGUCACGUACUGUCAGCAGCAUAUAGGUCACUUAGGAGAUAACUGUAUUGUAUUUUAAGCUCAGACGGGACGGCAUCAAUUGGGGAUUUGAUGGUUGCAAAUUAAGUUUACUGGCAACAUGUUAGGGGAGACAGUAAACGGGUAUUUGCGACCAUCAAAACCCCAAUUGAUGCCGUGGGAGCUUAAAAUACAAUAUUGUUAUCUCAAUUCUAAUGAAACUGACAUAAAACAACGUUGAAACAUGUAUUUUAAAUCUGUCAAAUGCCGUCUGUGCUUGCGUGUACGUUCCAUAGCAUCAAUUGUCAAUCGAUGCCAUGUAAAUAAGUGAUGUUAUCCAUUCAAAAUGAACAUUACAAACAUUGUUGCAUUAGAAUGGCUUUUAAUGUAAUAAAAAUGCUCACUGACAGUUAAUUGCAGUAGAUAGGUCACAGACAGUUAAUAGCAUAAAAAAGAUCACUGACAUUUAUAAGAACAAAAGAGUACUGACUGAAGAAGAUAUCAGCAAAUUGGUCAUUGAUAGGUUUUAGCACUAAAUUAUCAAUGAAAAUGUAACAAAAAGGUUACUGACAGUACAUAACAGUGUAGAGAUCACUUACAAAAAAUAGUAGCAUAAAAAACAUCAAUAAAUGACACAUUAAAAGACACUGGCAGUAAACUCAGCAUAGAAACAAAAGGUCAACAAUAUCUAGUAGUAAAUAAGUGUCUGAUAGUAAAUAAAAUAAAAACAUAGAAAGAUUGACAGAAAAUCGUUAAAAUAGUGAAAAUUGAUUCUUCUGACAAUGCUUGAUUAACAGUUUGAAGUGUCUGCAUGCACUUGAUUUCAGAUUUAGAUGACAACAUGUCCGACGUAUCCUUCUCCAGUCAAGGGAGCCCGCUCAUUGAUGUGGAACGUUUGUCAUCUGAUGACGAGGGUCGUGUGACUAGAAUUAGAACAGAUAGAUUAUCUAUCAGUAAGAGAUAUAUAUAUCUGUUUGACAGGAUUUAUUUACUUAAUCUUAUUUACAGCCUUUAUUAUAUUGGAAUUUGACUUGAAGGACAAUUUUUAGAAUAUUUAACACCUCACUCUAAAAGUGAGACUAUAUUGCAUUUACCUUGUCUGUAGGCUGGUCUGUUUGUUAGCCCCAACAAAUAUUUCCAUAACAUUUGUCUCAGAUAUUACUGAAAACCUGAUUUUAUAUUUGGCCACCAACUUGCUUAGCAUGACAACAUGAGCAUUAUUAUUAAAAUUAUACUUAAAUUAUCUUUUUGCUAUUAACAUGACUUUAAAAAAAAACUUGCUUGAAGAAAUUUUAAUGUUUUUAGAUUUUUACGCUGUUUUCAGAGGUUUUCCUUACAAUCAAUUAAAUAGUGUUUGGUUAAUAUGCUUGAGAAGUUGUCAUAUUCUUUUGAAUGAUUUUGAAUCUUGUAUUAUGAUGUGUGGGAGUUAUUUACACUGUGUGAUUAACAAUCAUUAAUACCUUGCUAUACAUACUUAUAACUGCUUAUAAAGAGGUACUAUUGUAUGCUAUAUAGUGCUAUUUACUUUUUUACCAAGAAAUGCUUAUGAAAUAUGUAGGUUUUGAAUAUAAGAACUCUCGUUAUGAAAGAGAGAAUAAAAUCAAAAAUGAACAAAAACACAACAGACAAAACUCUGAAAGUUUCUCUUUCAGACUUUGUAACACAAUCACAGGACAUAGAACAUUUGUAAUGAAUAAAUUUAUUAAAAAAAAUAUUCUAAUAUGAAAAAAGAUGUAGGGUUAAUGUCAAUCAGACAGGAACUUAACAGACCAAAGAAUGAAGAUAUAAACGACUAUAGGGCAUUGUAUGGCUUUCAACAAAGAGCAAAACCAUAACUAUGCCUUGGUUAAGCAUGCUACGCAAUAUUGACAAGUAGUGAAUAAUUUCAACAGAGACAACCAACUGAUUUAAACCUACCAGAACAAACAUCAAUAAUUAUUAAGUUAACAAUAGACUGUUAUUUAUUAAAAUUUUAUUAUCUUUACGAAAGAUCUGAGGGAGAGAAGAUGAUUUCUUAUUUUCCUCACAUGAAAACAAAUUCCAAUUAAACUGCUCUAUAUAAAAUACAUCUGAUUUAUAUUUCCUGUAAAUGUAAUAAAUUUCAAUAAUUUAAUGUAUAAAAGUAAUACCCUUGAAAAAUAGUAAUUUUUUUUUAUCAUGAUGGUUUGAGUUAUCUUUUUUUCAAACUGAAUUUAUGAUUUCCCUAUAGGUGGCGACAGCAGUGAGGAUGCUAAGAGACAAAUGGUUAACCUAGCUCAACAAAUCAUAGCCGCCAUGCCAAUGAGGAUCAAACUGUCUCCCAGUCGCGUUGAUGAUGCUGCGGAGUUUGCUGCCCGUGAGAGGAGCAGUUCGUACAGCUCCAUACCAUCACAGCCAUCUCCCCAUGCCUCAUCAUAUGAAGAGGAUUCUGGCAUAUCUACUCCAAUGGGUGACGGAUUUGCUUUUGAUGAGUACAGGUAUAUUGUGAAAGCAGAAAUUGUUGUUGCUUUCAGUCUUUACUACAAUAAGCUUGAACAUACACGCUAGAUAGACAUGUGGUUGUGGUUGAUAAGAUUUCACAAGUGCCUUGAAAAGUCUAUAAUGCUCCACUAAUUAAUAAACCUCUGCGCAACUAUGAAUACACCUAUUUUGAAGAUAGUGAUUUUUUAUGGAAUGAAAACCUAAACAAAAAAUUUAACCUGUAAAAAUAAUCCUCUUGCAAUCAAUGUUAUAGACAAAAAAAACAAAAAUUUUAACCCUAAAAAAUUUUGUUUUUACAAUAUGGUAUUGUUGUAUAAAAAUACUAACCUGACAAUUAUUUUAUUGACAUUAUAUAUUUUUCAGAUAUUCUGACCUUGGUACACCAGCUUCUUCUCUCAAUAGUCCCGAGUCUACCUGUAUUCCUAGUCCCUACAGUCCAUACGAUUUCAAGCUAGAUUCUCCACCUCCUACCACAGAAGAGUUCACAGAAUACUUCAAUGCUCCGGCUACAUUCAUGGAGAAAGAUUUCUCACUUCUUACAUUAUCAGGUAAGUUAUUAAAAAUGCUGUACAUUAUUGUUUCAGUUAAGGCGAAGUGUACGUAAUUGCACGCCUCUAGCGGAAUACGGGAUUAAAAACGUUCGUCGUUAGUUACGCAAGUUAUCUCCCUUACUCCAAGAAAGGACACACUAAAGAGAAACUACUUUCUGCAGUCUAUAAUGAAUCCAACAAGUACGCCUGUGCUGUCUUAAACCUCAUAGAAAUUAUCUCAAUAACUCAAAUUAGAAAUCACAGCAUUCUGUACGUUGUUCUGUGUGCAGCCUGACUUAAAAACACUGUUGUUUUUUUUUGUUUUGUUUUUUUUAGACGCGUAGGAGAAGGCAUUUCGUGUUUAUGAAAUUAACAGAAAGAAAAAACGCCUCACAACAACAUUAUAAACAAAUAAACAAAUAAACAUGUAACAAUUUUUCUUCUAUUGAUAUCAAAUUAAUUAAAAUGAAACCUGGUGAAUUGACCCAACAAUAUCGUUUUAAAAAGCCGUAGUCUUGAAUGAAAAACACAGUACUCAACAUAAAGUUUUAUAAUAGGUUACAAAUAAUUAAUGAAAGGCGUGUGAAUUUAAUUGUUUUAUUAAAAGACGUUGAAAUGUUUCGUAUUUGUGCAAUUGAAAAUGUUAAGGACAUAAUUUAUAUUCAUAUAAGAUAUCAGACUAUACCAAGAGAAUAAUUUGAUCACUAGUGCAACACUUACAAGUCGGAAGAACAAAGACGGAAAACAAACAAAACAUAAACAAAUUAGGCCCCAAAAAUUUAUCAGUAACUUAAAAGUUGUCUAAUUCUAACAUUUAUCUUAAAAUAAGUAAAAAUUGUGUCAUUCAACUCUCCAGUUUUCAACUUUUUUCUACAUGUGCAGAAAAUAGGUGUCUUCUAUUCCGUCCGCAAUUUUAUGGAAACUAAAAUCUAAAUUUAGAACCAUAUUGAAAUUGAAAGUACACAUGUAAAAUAAAAUAUAACAUGUCAUUUCUUCUUUCACAAAUUCCAAUUUCAAAGAGAUAUAUAGCGAAAUCUGUUUUCUUUUAUUGUGGGCUGUGUGCAUCAUUCAAAAUUAGAGAAUGUAAGUAUCAAGUCUCAAUUCAAGAUUAUGAAUGAAAAGAAUAUAGAAUACGGGGGGGGGGAUAGACCUUUAUCGGAACUCCGGGAUCGGUUGAAUUUAAGCUCGGAUUUCGGGAUUGACCCUUUCGGGAUCAGAUUCUAUUUCCGAAUUUCGGGUAGUCGGGAUUUAAUUUUUUUUCUAAUUCGGAACAUUUUGUUUCCGCGAAUUUCGAACAGCUAGAAAUAUAUUCCCCAGUUUCAAUUUGAGUAACUGAAUAAUUCAAGCCCUUUCCAUGUCCGAUUUUCUCCACACGAGAAAUGUAGCAUUCGUACAUCAGCUGAAUAAUACGACUGAAUUAUUCGGGUUACAAUUUGUGUAAAUCCCGAAUGCACAUAAAAGUAAAGGUCCAGCCUGACUUUCGGAAAGGACUUUUGUAGAUUUCAGAUUAAUUUCCAGAAAUAAAAAUCAUACAAAAAUGUUUCACGCAAAUAUUCGUCUUCAGACGUGUAAAGUUAUACAACGGUUACUAGCCGUCUGGAUUGUAAUAAAAAGAAGCGCAUGAAUGCAUAAAAUAUAUAAUGUCGUGGCUCGGGGAUGUGUUGAAUUGUAGAGAUGCGUAUGCGGCACAUAGAUAAGAUAUGUACUAAGAAUUACCACACAACUUAAAAUUUACUUAAAUAUUGAUUUGUUAUCCUGUGCCAGACAGAUGGCUGAUAUUCUGAGAAGAGACCUUGAUGAAAUGAAGAUUUAUGGGAACAGAGAUUUUGAAAACAUGUCGCAGUGUUUAGAUUUUAACAAAAAUAAGGCAACAAGGUCGAAAUAGUUCUAGUUCAUAAUGAAGAAAAUGUCCAACCGUUUUCUAGCUUGGCGAUCUCCGCACGCACCCGAAUAUAAUAGACAAACACAAUACAAUAGUACGCAAAACGUAAGAUAAAGAACUAAAGACCGAGCAACACGAACUCUCAACAAAACGGUAUAUAUUUCAUACAAGUAUAGAACUAUAUGAAGCGUCGUAACUGUUGCGGCGACGUCAAUAACGUUGUCGUUGUUUUUUUGUUUUUUUUCACUCAAGAUUCAACUUUAACAGAGUAUAGCUUGAAAAGUAGCACGGUUGCUAAGGACUUUCUUUGCACCAAUCGAUUCCUCAGACAUUUUAGAAUCGUCUUAUAAUUUAAAAAAAAAAUCGAUUGUCAAAUAUAAUAGAAAAUCUUGGAAAUGUAACAAUUCUGCCGAAUUCACGAUUUUCCCUAUAUAUCCUUUGUAAUUUUUGGUGUAUGAUGCUGUUAACUUCAACAGCUCGUAUCUCAAAAACGAAAACGGUUACCCCCAUUUUUUAUUUUAUUUUCCGAAUUAUUUUUACAAGCAGAAUCUACAUGUAAAAUUUUUAAAAAAUCCAUUGUGUAGUUUAAUUACGUACACUUCGCCUUAAAUUGGCUAGACCUUAAAAGGCCAAAAUAUAGCAUUUUAAAAAUUUUUUGAAAAUGUAAACUUUUUAGUGGAAAGUAUAGUAAUGUUGUUACACAAAUGUGGGCUCUUUUUGAUAAACCUUGCACAUGCAUCACAGACUAGCAUAGUUAAUUCAUGCAAAAUUACUGAAAUUUCACGUUUUUAGCAUUUGUACUUAAUUUUCUAACUUUUUUUUGUCUAAAAUAGAAGUGGCCGCACUUGUGUUCAGUAUUGAUAUUCAAAUAUAUGUUGUAUUUGAUGAUACUUGUAAUACAUAACAUACAUAAAGGUUGACACUGAACACAAAUGUGACCACUUUUUGUUUUAGACAAAAACUAUCUAAAAUGUUUUAUGGCAUGUUUGAAAGAUUCUUCAUACUUAAGCUUGAAUUUGAGUGUCUUUAUUAACCAAAACAGUUUAAAUCUUUUAUAUAAACUAAUAGAAUCGACUGAAGUAGACACUUAGGUGUUUAAAAAAUGUCAAAAAUCUUUCAUCAGAUGUACUUAAAAUUUUAGGCAAAAAUUAGCCCUUACCAGACCUCCUUUUUAAUUCUGUAUUGUUUGAUUGCUGACGUUGAUGUUUACCAAGACUCAUUUCUUUCAUGUAGAACCUAUUUCUUUUAUAGAUCAAGAACAACGCAAACUCUAUGAGGCAGCUAAAUGCAUACAAAAAACUUACAGAAAAUUCCGUAACAAACAACAAAUGACUCAACAUUAAUCAGAACAGAAAGUUAGUUCUUAUACAGAAAUAUUACAGGCGAUAUACAGUCAGUUCAGUUUUCUUAUACAGAAAUAUUACAGGUUAGGGAUAUAAACGGUCAGUUAGUGGUCAGUUAGUUCUUAUACAGAAAUAUUACAGGCGAUAUAAACAGGUUAGUUAGUUCUCUAUGCAUUGAAAUAUAUAAAGUAAUACAGAGGAUAAAAAGAUACAGCCCUUGAAUGGUGUACAAGAACUACUAUUUCCUGAUUUAAUUGUAAAAACAUGAUCUUUUAAUUUUGUAGUAUGCGUAUUAUAAGAAAAUGACCCAGGCAGCUGUAUUGAUACAAAGUCAGUUUAGAAGUUAUUAUGCUCAGAAACGGUUCAAGAAGAGUCGUGACGCAGCUGUUGUUAUCCAAAAUCAAUACAGGACGUAUAAAGAACAUGAACGUCUAAAGAAGGGAGGCAACAAAUCUGUCAUCAUACAACAAAGAUACAGGUUACUAUGAUUGCAAGAUAAGAUAAAUAAAUUCUUGAUAAAUAAUAAAUUUUUUCAAUAUGAAUAAAUAGAGAUAAGUAUAUAUAAGUCAAAGAGACAGGAACCUUAUUACAUUAAAAUUAAUAGAUAAAACCAGGCAAAGGGGGACUGCUUAUUUUGUCCUCCAACCUUUAAGCUUGUAGGCAAUUUGUUUGUACUCCGAUGAUUUACUCAAAUAAUUAUGAAUACUUAUUCAUAAAGAGAUUUUAACAUUUGUGUUAGAAAUGAAGUAGUUUUAAAAGACGCUAAAGCAUGGUCAAAUAUGACCCAGUGAAAUACAGAGUAUUCAUAAAAGUAACAAUGCGAAAUAUAAAGUUGUCUGUAACCAAAGUCUUAUAUAGGACUAUUUCUGCAAAUUGUUUUUCAGAAUUUUAGAGUCUCCCAUAAUUUAUUUUUGAUAAAUCACAGGUGCAAGUUAACAAAUGGAAAUUCAUACUAAUGAGUUAAAAAAAAACAAAAGAUAUUGCCAUGGCAAACAAUGAAAAAUAACAAAAGGAGGAACAACAGUAUACAAAACACAACAUAUAAAACUUAAAACUAAGUUACAACAAACCCAACAAAAAACGGGCAGAUCUAAUGAGCUGCCAAACGGUAAGCAGAUCCUGUUUUAUAUGUGGUACAUUUGUGAUAGAUAUUCAACAUCAAUUCUGUUAAUUCAAUACAUUUUAAAAUGUUCAGUUCCUUGUUUUUUUCACAGGAGCCAUUACCAGAGGAUACCUAAGCAUGUAGGACGUAAUUCUGACGGACAGAUAGUACAGAUUGUCCCAGAGGGCCCUGACAGGUAACAAAUAUUUAUAAAGACAAACCUGAAUAUUAUUUCACAAAAACAUAUUCAUAAAACAGCAUGCACCGAAACUUUUCUGAAACCUUGCCAGUUCGGCUUAUGUUUGUCCAUACUAGUUGUAUUCAGUUUAUAACUAGCUUGAACUAAUUUUUACUUAACUACAGUGAUUAACAAUAAGAAAAAAAAAAAGGAAACUUAGAAUGUAUGUUUUUAGUUUGACUGUUUAAUAUGGCAUGUAUCUGUAACCUAAUUACAUGAAUUGUAGGACAAUAAGCAAUAUUCUGAUAUAGAACAUAACCGAAAACUAACAUUUGCUUUUAUUUCACAAAAUCUUUGAAUUGAGUAAUAAAUUUGUAUUGAAGGUUUGUUUAUCAUCUAGAUACGGUUUAGUCAUUUGAUACUGUGCUUAAUGAUUUACAAGAAUACAUUAACUGCUUGAAGGCUUACAGAUUUAACAAUAAAUGCAUGUUUAGGAUCUGACAUUAAUUUACAUUCUUUUAUUUUUAAAAGACCGUUCCAUUUAGAAAUAUAUAGGUUCCCAGGGAAGGCACUUUAAAAUAAGUGACCUAUAAAGGCAAAUUUUAAUUUCCUAUCAUUUUCUUCGUUCUUGACAGUCACAGCACAGAUGACUUUUAAAGUGCCUUCCCUGGGUCCUAUGUAUGUUUUUAUGGAAUAUACUUUAUUAAAAUAACAUUCAUUGGAAAGUUAGUUGACCUCCACGGUGAAUGUUUUUCAUGUUUGAAUUUGCCUCUUAAUUUCAAAAUUGAUGAAGUAUUAUCAUUCGGUUAUUUACAUUUAUUCUAAAAAAUACAAAAAAAUCUAGCUCAUGGUUAUAUCUGCAUGAUUCACAUCAUAAUGUCCAAACAAGACUAUUUGUAUAAAAAACUGUUAGAUGCUGCAUUACUAAUACAAUACAUUUAACUAAUACCUAAAGAGAGUGGAAAAUUGUCCAUGUUAGGAGGGUAUGUAAAUUUGAUGUCCAGUGUUGUUAUCAUCAUUAUGACGUACGUCUUUGUUGUUGUCACAGUAGAGUAGAUUUUAACAUCCAAUAUAUUUUUAAUAUUCUCCAAAAUAUUAUGAAAAAUACACUGGAAAUAUUUUGUUAUCAUAAUAUUUUUUUCAAAUAUAAUGUUUUGAAUUGGGCCACAUGUAUGAUUCAAAUGGAUUUUUGACUCCUUCACUUGAGGUUGAUGAGUUCAUAUAAUGGAGGUAUUCAUAAGUCGGGUCAACUUAUCUCAUGGGUAGAUUCCCCUUUAAUGGGAAAAUUAGGUCAGUCUAAUUGGAAGAAGUUUAUUGCAAUGUUAAUAAAUGCCAAAAAGGACAGCUGAAGCCUCCAUCCAUUGCAGGAAUUUCUUGCUGUUUUGAAGACCCUUUUGUGGCUUGGGGCUGCUUUCUGUCCUUUGGUCGGGUUUAUGUCUCUUUGACACAUUCCCAAUUUCCAUUCUCAGUUUUUUGAAGUAUAAUAAAUACACAUGUUCAUGAUGUUAGCAAACAUAAAAUUGCAGUACUGGAAAGAUUUUCUUCAUUGUUGCAGUUAGAAAUUGGAGGUAUUCUCACACUGUUUUAUUUUAUACUUGAACAUAUCAGUAUAUAUUUUUUAUACACAAUAUACUCUUUAUAUUGGUGAAAAUUACAGUAUCUCUUUCAUUUAGUAUGUGUAUCUAUAUUUGUGUGUGUUUGUGUGUGUUAUGUUGCAUGUUUGUGAAAUGUUGUUGUUUUAUUUUCAGAAUUAUAUAAUGUGAUUUGGAGGUACUAAAUAUCUAUUCCACCUUUUUAUCUAUAUAUAGCUUGUGUGCUUACUUUUCUUAUUCAGUACAGUUAUCAUGUCUGUCUGUUCAUUAUAUAUUAUUACUGGGCGUCUUACUGUGCAAAACUGUUAUGGGUAGUUAGAAGUCUUUAAACACCCCCUAGUGGUAGUUAGAAGUCUUUAAACACCCCCUAGUGGUAGUUAGAAGUCUUUAAACACCCCCUAGUGGUAGUUAGAAGUCUUUAAACAUCCCCUAGUGGUAGUUAUAUGGUCUAGUUUGCAGGCUUUGUAAAAAAAAAAUCAAGAAAUCAAAUAUCCACAAUAUUGGUGCCAAGAAUAAUCAAUGAGUCUACAGUAUAUAAUGGAAUGACAGGAUUUAUGAUAAACUGUUCUGAAUAAGAAGUUCCAUUUAAAUUAUAUUAAUAUAAAGCUUUCUAUAGAUUCUGCCUACAAGUCACUAGUGUGUUUUUUGCUGUUUUUUCAUCAUGUGUGCUGUCACUUUGAGAAAAAUACAAGCAGUCACAGCUUUAGUAUAAUACUUACCGAUAUUUUUGUGAGAAAAAACCAAACUUAUUUGAGUAAACCUGGAUUGAGACCUGUCCUAUUUUCUUAGUCCUGCUUUGUAUGUUGCAUUAAGAUUUUAUUUCAUGAUAUCAAGGGAGACUACUCCUAUUGUAUCGGUACAACAUUACCCUAGCUCAAGCUUUAUUAUUUCCAUGAUUUUAGUUUUAAAAUUAAUAUAAACUUGUUCGCAAAUACAUUAGAUUUUAAAAAAUAUACUUCUUUAUUAUUAGCUCACCUGACCUGAAAGGUCAAGUGAGCUUUUCUCCUCACUUGGCGUCCGUCAUCCAGCGUCCUGCGUCUGUCGUCUGUAAACUUUUACAAAAAUCUUCUACUGGACCAAAUUUAACCAAACUUAGCCACAAUCGUCCUUGGGAUAUCUAGUUUAAAAAAUGUGUUCGAUGACUUGGCCAUCCAACCAAGAAGGCCACCAUGGCUAAAAAUAGAACACAGGGAUAAAAUGUAUACUUUGGCUUAUAUCUUUGAAACCAAAGCAUUUAGAGCAAAUCUGACAGGAGUAAAAUUGUUGAUCAGGUCAAGAUCUAUCUGCCCUGAAAUUCUCAGACAAAUUAGACAACCUGUUGUUGGGUUGCUGCCCCUGAAUUGGUAAUUUUAAGGAAAUUUUGCAGUUUUUGGUUAUUAUCUUGAAUACUAUUAUAGAUGGAGAUAAACUGUAAACAGCAAUAAUGUUCAGCAAAGUAAGACCUACAAAUAAGUCAACAUGACCAAAAUUGUCAGUCAACCCUUUAAGGUGUUAUUGCCCUUUAUAGUCAAUUUUAAUAACUUUUCGUCAUUUUUGUAACUUUUCUAAAACUAUGGGCCAAAUUUAACCAAACUUGGCCACAAUCAUUACUAGGGUAUCGUGUUAAUGACCCGCCUACCAACCAGAUGGCUGACAUCAGUAAAUACAGUAACAGGUGAGCGACACAGGCUCUUGAGAGCCUCUAGUUUCAACAUAGCAUGUAUCAUUAAAGAAAAUAUGUCCAUAACAAAUCCAGGACUGUUUUGCUUCACUUCCCUCAGUUAAUUAUCAAAAAGUCCAGGAAUAAUUAAUUUUGUUAAUUAAUCUGCACUAACGAAGUGACUUUUGAACAGGUAAAUUUAGUGCACUCAUAAUGUGUUUUGUAUUUCAAACUUGGAUUUUUUGGGCAAAUGUAGGAUUAAUUCACUCAAACGUAAUGUGUGGUGGAUAACAACACAGAGAUGUCAGUAUAUAUGCAGGAAAUUGCCAGAGUAUGUCUAUGACGUUUUUUUACCCCAUCAGUAGGUCUGACAAGUUAUACAAAUUUUGAUACACAACACUUUAAAUUUGUCAAGGAGUAAAGUGGCAUAAUCUAUAUAUGCAAUACUAGAUGUCAGAUAUAUAAACUUAGUGUAAAAUGUGAAUAUAAAACUAUAUGUUAUACUAGUUAGCUCUUAUUGAAUAUAGAAUUUAAUUAGAUUACCAAAAUUUUUCUUUUCAGGUAAUAUAGGAUAUUGUUUUUUGAAUAAUGUAUUUUUAUUAAAUUGUGUGAAUUUGCUUGUCAUCUUUUGAAGAUAACCACAUAGGUCAAAUCAUAAAUUAUUUAAAGUAAAACUUGUGAGUAAAGGGGAGUUGUAACAGCAUUGAUGAUUAAUUAUUAAAAUUGAUAUAUUGUUUCAUUAUUUUUUUUUAGUUCCUUACAUAUUUUUCACUUUCUUGUGUUCAUUCUUUAUUAAGAAACUUUUUUUUUAUCGUUUCAGCACACAAGCAGACCAAAGCAACUCACCAGACAACAUAUUACAGCUAACAGACGAUAGCAUAACAGCUCCAUCUAGUGAGGAAAAAUCAAGGGAGAGUAGUAAUCAUUAA